rnacentral:lncRNA from 1 species
UUUUUUUUUUUGUUAAAGAGGUUGAAAAUCAAUUUGAAAGAAAAAUAAAAAUGUUUAGAACAAAUAGAAGAAAAGAAUAUGACUCUAUUGGCCUUAUAAACUUUGUCAAAUCAUUAGGAAGAAUACAUGCGAUGAAUCCACCAUAUACCUCAAUCAAAUGGCAUGGCUGAAAGAAAAAAUGGAGCAUUAAUAGAUUUAACAAAUGCUAUGUUAGCAAGUUUAGGUGCACUUAAAAAUUUAUGGAAUGAAAGUGUUAUAACAACCAACUAUAGUAUGAAUAACGUGCCUCAUAAAAAAGAUUUAAUAACUCCUUAUGAAUUAUAAAGAAAUAAAAACUCAAAUAUUGAAUAUUUUAGAGUAUGGGGUUUGUUUAGCACUGGAUCAAAAAUUUCAAAAUUGGAAAUAAAAGCAAUUAGAUGCAUAUUCUUUUUUUUUUUAAAUGGCAAACCCCGUAUAUAGGGGUGGGAAGCUAGCUCAGAUUUUAUUAAUGUAAUCAAAAAUUACAAAGAUGGGACCCAAACCUCACUCAGGAAUACAUGAUCGAAUAAACAAAACAAAUGCAUCAACCAAAACCUCAACCUGCACAUCUUAUUUCUGUGAAAAUUAGGAAAACCAAGUGCAUCUUAAGUAAUAUCUUCUCUAAUUAUCUGAGGCAAGUCAAGACAGGACUCAUAAAUUGAGGUUUUCCUAGACUCCACUCCAACAUUAGACAGUCUAUCCGCCGGUUUAUUCGCCUCUCAAAAAUAAUGAGAAACAACUUCAAAAUAAUGUCUAUACUUAGGGAGGUCUUGUAACUCCCUCUGCAAACUCCAAGGACAACUAAACUUCCCCUGAAUAAUAUGGACAAGAACUAAUGAGUCAAAUUCCAAAUGCAAAUUAACUAGCCUACAAGAUACACCUAAUCGAACACUAUAAAGAAACGCUUUCAAUUCUGCAUGUAGACUUGUAGUCUCCCCAAAAUAACAAGAAAAUGCUAGCAAGAACCUCCCAUCACAAUCCUUGAACAAACAACCACCCCUACUCCUCCCAAGAUUGCCUCUUGAACAACCAUCGGAGUUCAACUUCACAACCGAUUGGAUUAGACACAUCCAUCUAAUCUCCAAAACGAUAACACUGUUUCGCAACCUAGCUAUCGCAUAAGAAAAACUAGGCCAUGAUUGACAUGUCAUAGAAAUAUCCCGAAACUGAAGACAGAAACAUUCUCUCAGCUCAAAAAAGAUCCGAUCACAAACAUGCAUUACCGACUCCAACUUACCAUCAAAAGUAACAAAUCAAGGCAAAGUGUGGAGAAUAAAAUCAAGAUGAGGAUUAGGGGCAGGCUUUACCCACCAACUCAUCACCUUAUGCCUAACUGUGAAAGCAUCUCUUACCCCGCUAAUUAAUGCUUCAAAAAAUCCCAAACCUGUCUAGCCACCUCACCAAUACAAAAAAUAUGGCUAAUAGUUUCUUGACACGGAUGCAGACAGCAAAAACAUCGAGAAGGGCCCAGCAUACCAAACUUAUGCAAUACAUCCAUAACCGGCACCCUACCAAAUAUCAAUCUUAGCAUAAAAAUGGAAAUCUUUGAUGGUAAAGCCUGAUGCCAUAAGGAAGAAAAAAGCCUGUAAGCAUUACCACCUUGAUGCACUAUCUGAUAGGCUGAUGAGAUAGUAAACACACCUGAAUUAUUUGGAGCCCAGACCAUUUUAUCCGCCUAUACCGAAGUAGGAGGAGCCACACCUAUCACCCGUUGCACUCAUGCCGCUGGCAAUACCCUAUUUAAGCAUUGCAAAUCCUACCUACCUUGCACGACAAAGUCCGCAACUAAGUGCUUUUGAAAACUUUUCACUUGCUGACAUAACGGACAUGUCUCCAACCAAUCAUCAUGUCAAAAACUUGAAGAACCGCUGCUCAAAAUCCAUCUUAUAUGCUUCUCUGCCACCAAUUGAGUAGCCAACAUUCUCUUCCAAGUGAGUGAUUACACUAAAGAAAAAUCUGAAUAACAAGGAUACAAACAUGGGCAACACUUCAAUUGCAUGAACUCAACCCAUAAAGAUUGUCACAACCUAAAAUUCCACCAUAACUUCAAAUAGAAGGCAUCAAACACAUGUUGCAAAGAAUGUAAGCCCACACCUCCCUCCUUGUAAGGCUUGCAUAGCUGAUUCCAUUUAAUCCAAUAGAACCGCGGUCCAAAAUCGGAGAAACCCCAUAAGAAAUCAGCAAAAAUUUGUUCCAACAUGCCAAAUAUCCCUUAAGGGGGUUUAAGGCAGCAAAAAUAUGGAUCGGCAUGGACACCAGCACACUCCGUAUCAAAAUCAACUUUCCACCCGGCGAUAAUAACUUCUCUCUCCGCGAUAACACCCUACUUGCAACCAGUAUACAAAUUGCUGAAAAAUAGCUCUUCUUCCAUCUUCCCGAGUACAAUGGACCAAGGUACUUUAAUGGGAAAAACUGGGAACGAAAUCCAGUGCCUUGUGCCACAAUACAUUUUCGCACACCUGACAGACUAGCAUGAGACAAAAAAUCACUCUUAUGAUGAUUCACUUUUUGUCCCGAUAUCAACGUAUAAUCUUCUAGCACCUUCGUAACCAACUGCAACGACCUUUUCAUUCCAUUGGAGAAAAUAAUGACAUCAUCUACAUAAGUUAAAUGCAUAAUAGGCGGACACCCGUUCGGAACCUUGAAAGGCACAAAAUCCUGCUGACCAACCAAGGAAUUAAGAAGACGAGAAAGAACUUCGACACUUGAAACAAAAAGGGCCAGUGAAAUUGGAUCUCCUUGAUGAAUCCCCCAACUAGAUUUAAAGAAACCUUAGGACAAACCAUUCACAAUAACUGAGAACCAAACAUUCGAAAUAAGCCUCCAAAUCAUAUCUAUCCAAAUUUCACAGAACCAGAACCUUCUUAACACUUGUAUCAAAAAAGGCCAGGAAACCCUGUCAUAAACUUUGGCCAUGUUGAGCUUCAAAACAAUGUUACCUUGAAUAUCUAAUACAAGCUCCUGAGCUGACAAAACAUUAUCAAAAAUCUAUCUAUCCUUCACAAAUUCGCUUUGCUGAGGCGAAAUAAUGUGAGGCAGCACCUUUGCCAAUCUAACCGCCAAAAUUUUGGAAAUCACUUUGUUAAGAAAGUUGCACAAACUAAUCGGCCAAAAUUGACUAAAAUCUUGAGGAGAAUUAACCUUCAGAAUAAGCACUACUAUCGUUGAAGUAAUGCGGCUCGGCAACUCAUGCCUAUAAAAGAAACUAACCACAAUCGCAUAUAUAUCCUCGGCCACCACCUCCCAAGCAAAGGUCAAAAAACUCCCAGUAAAAUCAUCCAACCCAACUGCACUCUCCUCAUCCAUCCCAAAAAUCACGUCUCUAAUCUCUUCCAAAGAAGGAACUCAGGCUAAUUCAUCAUUCUGUUCUUGAGAAAUAGUGUUGGGGAUCACGUCCAAUAUAGACCAAGACCCUAAAGAAGGCUCAACUAAAAAUAAGAAUUUAAAAUAGUCAACCGUCUCUGUUGCAAUCUGAUUAUCACUUGCUAACCAAUCCCCAUUUGCACUAUUCAUCCGAUGAAUAACCAUCUUCGUCCUACGCUCCGUGACUACAGAGUGAAAAUAUUUUGAACUUUUGUCCCUAUCUCGAAGCCAUUUAACUCUUGCUUUUUACUUCCAAUAUCCUUCCUCUAUCAAAAUUGAAUUUCUUCAAACUGCCCGAGCUUCCUGAAGUGCAAUUACAUUUGGCCGUCAACACCUCCUCUUCGGCUUUCUUCACCGCAUCAAAAAUAUCUCCAAAUGAUUCAUGAGACCAAACUUGGAUAUGUUUUUUAACCUCCCGCAAUUUGGCAGCCAAUCUCUACAAAGAGGAACCUGAGAAGGACCCUCCCCAACUUUGUCGAAUAAUCUCCAAUAAUUCUGGUUUAGAUGUCCAAACAUUCAAGAAUCGAAAAGAUCGCAACUUAUUAUCAAGCCUAGAUGUUGCCGCCAACAGCAAGGGUGCAUGGUCCGAGAGGUCCCUCUUUAAAUGUUGCACCGUGGAAUUAAAAUCUAAACAAGACGCAUUCUGGUUAUAUAGCAUUCUGUCUAGUCUCUUCCAAAUACGCGCAUGCCCCCCUCUAUUAUUACACAAUGUGAACUUUGAACCCGAGAAUAGCAUCUUGUACUCCAACCAUAGCCAUAAAUAGAACAAAAUCGAAACCUUUCCCUAGACGAAAAAGUAAUCCACCUCUAUUUUCCUCCUCACUGACAAUGACAUUGAAAUCCCCUAUUAGAAACCAUGGAGGAUCCAUAGGAUUGUCUACUAACAGAGACGACCAAAGCGACAUUCUUUCCUGCUCAGUAUACUUUGCAUGCACGAAUGAAAAGACCAUAGGGGCAGAUAAUAGUUGCGACUGGAUUUUAAUUGACAAAUGUUGACUAGAUUCACUCAUUUGUUCACAAACAAGUGAAUUCCGAUAAAACACCCAUAGAGAACCCUCACUAUUGACAACACAUCCAUCCAUUCUCAACUGUAAGUGUAUCAAAUGAAUACCUACUGGAGACAACUUAGGUUCACAAAUAGCAACUAAUUGAAUGGAAGACUCAACGAUUAGACCUUUUAAACAAUGAAAAUUUAGGGCAUGCGAGAUACCCUUAAUGUUCUAGAAUAAGAAAUCAAUCAUCAGACAAAGCAGCAAAAGAGUUAUUGGAAAGUUUUGACUUAGAGCGUAAAGAUUGAUCGCUGGAAAAUUGGGCCCGAAUACCUUUGCACUUAGGUUGCAUGAUCAUUUUAUAGCCCUUCUGUGACGCCCCCACCUCUCCCUAGAGCGAAUCCUAGGAUAUUAACGGAAUGCCUGCCCAACUCUCGUCAGGACUCAUGCACUCAUUCAAGCUUAAUAAAGGAUCACAAAUUAACUAUCAACUUAAUUAAUAAGUACUUCGAAUAUACAAGCUCGAAACUCCCAAGUAUACCAUUUAUGAUUACAAACCACAAAAUCCGAGUAUACAAAAUUUGCACUUUAAUGGUCUCCAAUAACAUACAUAAGUAUACUAGCUUCAACCAAGAGUCACUAGUCUAGGAACUCCAAUUUCCACCUUCAAAACCUGUUAAGGAAAAACAAACUUAAAGGGAUGAGCUAACGCUCAAUGAGGCCAAGAAAACAAGCAAGCACGUAGAACCAAUUAAUCGAAUAGCAUGCUUAAAAGCAACUUUAAACAUGACAUUUUAUUUAAGUGCACAAGUAGGAAUUAACACACAAGGAAGGAUACAGGAGCUCUCAGGAGCUAUUUUCACGUCUCGACCGCUUCAACCAUCUGAGGUUGAUUUUCCGUCAACUCAAGUAGUAACACGACCGUAGUGCUCCACUUACUUCCUCCCCAUCCAACAUAACACCCUCUCGGAUUCGGAACCAAACACGCAUGAAGUGGCGAUACUAUUCGAGUAUUCCAAGCGAGAUUUUAAAAGAUCAAACUAUAAUAUUUUCCAAGGUUCACCAAGCUUCUUGACCAAACCCUUGCCGGCUCAAGUUACAAGGUUAGCCAAUGGGUUGGGGCGUCUCCACAAAUAUAAGGGGUCGAUGAGACAACGCUCCAAUCAACUUAGAAUCGAUCAUAGCUCUGAGGCGGGAUGAGCGGUACCUCAUAUCCAAAUAGGGCAUGAUACUUCUAGCCGCUCAGUGCUCACGAGUUAAAAUAUGUUCAUGUACAAGUGUAAGUCACAUAUAUUCAUCUAACAAGUAUCAUGUAAUCAGGAGAGAGAGAGAGAGGGAGGACGAGGGCGGUAAAGUACUCCCUCGCCUCGACAAAUUCACGUAUCGUAUAGCACUUAUACAAAUCUCAAUUUAAUCAUGUUAACAUCGAACAUGCACUUGACACUCACCAAAAGUCAAAGCAAAACAAGAGCAAAGCGAGAGUCAGAUGAGCUCUUCGGCGUCCUCGUGACCACUUGAGACAUGCAUAAUCAUGAUUACUUAGGUACUCGACUAAGAUUAUAAAGAAAAAUAUUUUCUUGCUACUCACUCUCAAGAUCACAAGUUGAGUCAAGUUAAAAGAGCUUUUCUCGCUAAAUCAUUGAAAUAAUGCUCAAAGAUAACUCAAAGGUUGUUUUCGAUUCAAGUCGUGGUAAGUAAUAUCAAUUCCAAAAGAAAUUAUCAUACAUACUUUUGGUGCAAAAAUCGAGAAAAAGAAAAAAUGAUUUUCUUUUCUCAAAACUUUUAGUCCUACGCCCAAGUUUUAAGAAUAUAAGGAACGUUUACAUUUUUUAAACUAAUGGAGUUAGAAUUCAUCCAUAACUCCACUCAUUUUCAUAGUAAAUGUCAAAACUAAAGUUCCAAGUUUCGAGUAUAAAACUAGUGAAAUUCAUCAAGAAUUACUCUAGUUAAAACACUCCCUUUUUAGAUUUCAAACUCAUGGAAAUCGAGGGCAUAAGAAUAGGGGUGCUAUUAACCAAGGAAGUUAACAACCAAGAAAAUGUAUCAAGAGAGGUUUAAUCCUUUGGAAACCAAGAUUCAAAAAUGAAGGUUUAAAGUUUGAAAGUGACCUUGUGUCCAACCAUGAAAUUAAAUUUAAAACGGACUACAAUCUCAAAGGAAGAUUGAAAGUUCUUAAAAGAGUACUUUGGUUGAAACCAGAAAAUUUUCAGCUUGGUGUGACACUACUGCGAAAAAUCGUAUCUCGAGUUCCGUAAGUCCAAAAAUUGGAAACUUAAUACCGUUGGAAACUAAACUCAAUGCAUUAAAACUUUCUAGAAGACACUUUCCUCAGAAUCCAAUUUGAAAUCAUUCAAAAUUUAGCUCAAAGUCACUGCUUCAAACAAGACAGAGCAAAACAGGCUUGCAAUUUCAGCAAAGUUUGGAAAUUCGGCAAAAUUCGUAGAAAUGGAAUCAACCCUUGAAAUUUAUACCACUAAUAGAAUUCUAAAUUUAGUUUCAAAUGCAACAAACAGAACCCAAUUCGUACCUUUCUACAUCAAGAUACAAUGGUUUUACGAAAACUGAAUUUUGGAACCUGUUACACCAAAUUUCCAGUUUUGAAGACUUGACAGAGUUUCAAAAUCUGAUUAUAACUAAAUCUAUACAACUCAAAAAGUUAUGACCCAAAACGUGAACACUGGUCGGUGCUCCUGGUCAGAAAAUUUUCCAGAUUUCUUCCGCACCUAAACCCUACUUUAACUCAAUCAAUUGUAUACACCAUCAUAUAACAAACAUUAUAGUACCAAAAUAAUAUCAAAAUUCGAAAUUAACAUGAGGGUUUCAUCAAGCCAAAUUUCAGACAGCAUGCAUCCCCCAUUCCUCUAGUUUUCUUUUCCAACUUUCCAACUAAAACUAAACCAUAUCUUCUCAAAAUAAGCAUUAAACAUGCAAGUAAACACACAACAAUCCUCAAGGCCUCUACCUAUAAGGCCACCUCAAGUCCACUAUCUUGUGUCAAGGUUCUUGUGACCAUCAACAACCUAACAACUAACUAACCAUAACUAACUACUACUAAUAGUUGAAAGGAAAAAAAUGAAAACUUAGAGGAUUACCUUUGCUUCCAAGAAUGAAGAACAACCACUAGUAUAAGCUCUUAAUUCACCAAAGUUUCUAUCUUGUUCUAGUCACCUUCCAAGCUUGUAUGAAGAACCAAGGAAAGAAGCAAGUGUGGAGAGUUUUCUUGGAGCAACAAUGGAAGAAGCUAGCUGAAAUUUUUGGGAAGGAAAUGGGGAAGGGGAAGUCGGCCAAGAGAAGUGGAAAGGAAGAAAAGUUUUGGGUGGUAGUUGGGUGAUUUGAUGGUGUCAUAAGAUGAAUGACAUAAAGGUGUCUUGAUACCCCAAAAGUCAACAACCGAUUAGUGAGCAAUUAGUGCUCCUAAUUGAGCUUAACUUAACUCACUCACAUUUAAUCUCUCAAUUAACUUUUCUUAGUCUACUAUUAAUCAUCCUUAGUUCUCCAAGACUAAUGUACUAUCGGAUCAAAUUUUUUCUCAAAAAACGUGUAAUCUCUAUUUCUCGCUAAACGAGCCGCAGAAAAAUUAAAUUCGCUAACGAAACGUUUUAAAAAUAUAAAUGAGACAUUGUUCCAUGAAAAGAGAUUUAAAAUGGAUGAAAUAAAUUAUUCGUAGUAAACGGAUAAAUAAAUAAUUGAAUAAACUAGUAAAACAAAAUAAAAGUAAGUGAAAAUAAAAAUUCAGGUCCUCAUACCUUCUUCCCAUGAACCUUUUCCUAAACUUGUUGAAUAAUAGGAUCUAAAUUAAAAAUAUCCAUAACCAAAGAAUCAAUGUCCCUCUAUGCAACUCCCAACUCACUAGGCAGAGACAAAUUCCCAGCCUUUUAUUCUGCACUAACAAUGUGAUGCUCCCACUUCUCCCUAAGGCGAACCCAAGGGUAUCGACGGGACGUCUGUCUAGCUCUCGCCAAGACUCGAUACAAGUCAAAUCCAAACUUAAAGAUAAACAAUCGAUAAUAAAAGUCAAAGUAGAGAAAGGUCGCUUCCUUAAAUAAACUUUCAAAUCUUACAUCACAAGUUCUCAAAAGUACAACAACUUUUCCAAAAUACAACCACUAUAAGUCGACUAGUCAAUUACAUCCCAAAAUUUUUAUCAAAAGUAAUCAAGUCGGCUUCCUCAAAAUUCUCCCCAAUCCGAUCUCCUGCUAGGGAAAACCAACUAAUGGAGUGAACUAACGCUUAGUGAGGCCAAGAAAGCAUGCAAACACAUAGUUCAAGUAACAAUAACACUUAUAUAGGGAAUAAAACUAGAAAGUUCAGGAAAUUCACAAUUAAUAAUAAAACACAAUCAAUAAAGGAUACAGGAGCUCUCAAGAGCUAGAUUCCUCUUACUUUGCCAAUGCUCGAUCCAAUACCUCCACGCAGUGACACUUUAUCAAUCGAGUAGGCAUUAAAUCCGUAGAACUCCACUUACUUCACAAUCCCGUUCACCGUUACAUCCCCUGUUCCGGGCCCGCACUUCAGCUAUAAAAGGCAAUCCUAUUCGAGUAUGCCAAGCGAGAUCUCUUAAAAGAUCAAACUUUUGUUUUCUCAUGGUUCCCCAGCCUUCUCGACCAAGCCCAUGCCGGUUCGAGUCGCAAAGUUGGCCAACGAGAUUUAGGCAUCCCCCGAUGAACGAUUACAAUUGCAACAAUUCACUCAAUUCAAUUAUCAAUUCACUUAACACAAUUCAAUUAUAAGUUCACUUAAAAGAGAACGAGUGCGAUAAAGUACACACUCAUCUCGCCAAUUCCAAAAUACUUUUAAUAAGGGAAAAUUCAAGUAUUUAGCAACAAUUCAUGCACUUAACACUCACCAAUUCAAAACAAGUGAGUAAGUGAGCAAAUAAAGUCUUUAGUUGUCCACUCCGAGAUUCUCUUCAAGAUCCUCUUGAGCGCCUGAAGAAAUAACGAUCAACUAUCACUCACAACCACUUAUCAAUCAAGGAAGAAAGUACACUCGCUUGAAAUUUAAGAUAAUGUCUUAGAAGAGAUUCAAUCCAUCGAAAAUCGAGAUUUAAAAGUGAGGAUUUAAAGUCACAAGAGAAACUUGUAUCCUCCAUGAAAUCAUGUUUAAAACGGACUAUCAAUAUCGAAAGAAAGUGAAAAGUUCUUAAAAGCUCAUUUCCUACGAAAUCGGAAAUUUUCAGUUUUGCGCGACAAAACUUAGAAAAUUAGAUCUUGAGUUUGGUAAGUUCAAAAAUGAAAAGCUUCAUAUCGUUGGAAACUAGAUUAAAAGUACUAAAACUUCCAUGAAGACACAUUUCCAAGAUUCCAACUAGAAAGCAUUCAAAUUUUAGUUCAAAGUUACGGUUUCAAGAAAACAGGACAGAACCAGUCUUAGUUUUUUAGCAAUGUUUGAAAAUUCGGCAAAAUUCACAAAAAGUGAAUUAGCCUCUGAAUUUUAUAACACAAUAAGAGAUCCAAACCAAGUUUUAAACACAAUAAAUGGAACUAAAUUCAGAGUUUUGAGCAACAAGAUAUACUAGUUUAAAGUUGUCUGAUUUUCACAAUCUGUUCAGAAAAUUUUCAGUUUCCAGCUUUGACGCAGUUUUGAAAUUAGACCAUAUCUAACUCUACACAAGUCCAAAUUGACACUGGUUUAUGGCGUUAAAAGCUAGGUUCAAAUGCUACAUUUCAUCAAAAGACAUCAUUUUAAAAAUCUUUUCACACGUAAGACAAAAUCGAGCCACAAGAUGCAGCUUCCCAGUUUUUCUCAGACAGAUAGGCAGAACAGAACAGUCUACUUUGCCGAUUCGCUACGGUUUACUCAAAAUGAACUAGCAGGGGAUUCUUAUACCUUUUGAAAGCUCUGAAUGUCUGGUUUUGAAUGCCGUAAAUGGUACUCAAUUUUGACUUUUGUACAAAGAGUUAUGUUCAGACAAAGAACCACUGGUUGGCUACCCUGCUAGUGAAUUUCCAAAUUUCAAACUUUUCCAAAACUCAAGUUUCGCACAAUCAUUUGACAUGAUUUUCGAAAGACACUUUCUACACACAUAAUACAACAUGUAUCAAUCAAUUUAAUAGCCAAAUAAGCAACAAAAUUUUUAAUUUAAAGCAGGACAACAGGAGCAGAAUUUCGGCCAACUCACUCCCACGGCUUCCUUCAAAUUUCUCUCCACUAUCAAACCAUAAUCAAGCUAUAAAUCACAUAAACAACCACAAUCAAGAAAUAUAGUCUCAAGUUAGCUACCUAAAGGUCUCCUCAAGACAUCUAGCUUAGGAUUUAAAGCAAGAUAAAUAUUUUCUCAAGUCCGCUAGCCUAUAAACUUCAUUAGGGUUUCAAACCCAUGAAAUCUAACCGUCAAUCUUAGUAAAAUUUGAAAGGUUAAGGAGAUGAAAUGAUUACCCUUUAAACCCUAGAUGAAAACCAAAUUUUUCCACCAAAAUUACCAAGCAACACCUCAAGCUUUCACCUUUCUUCUAGUUGGAGCAAAAACCCAAGGGUUGUGAGUUGGAUGGAGUGAAUCAAGCAAAUUUGGAGCAAGAAGUUGAAACCUUUCUCUUCCUUUUUCUUUUCCUUUGGUCGGCCGAGAGUGAGGAGAGAGAGAGUGAGGGUUUUGUGGUUUGAUUUCUUGAAGGGAAAGAAUGAAAAAGGUAGUCAUAAAGUGUGCACAAAAGUCAACCCUCAAUAGUGCAAAAUAGUGGCGUGCACUACCACUUCCUCUCUUGUUUGAUACACUAAUGCACUAAUCCUCCAAGGUACUUUCUCUAACAUUUUAAUUACUCAUACUUACGAGUCUAAUACUGAUUCCUCAAAUCUCCAAUUAAUCGAACCGGCAUGACUUCCGAGAAACUUUUGACGCUACGCGAAAAAAAUGAAAUUUAAGAAAAAUUCAUGCAAUACUAGAAUAAUUAAAUAACACUAGGGCAAAUAAUUAUAAAAAUGACUAAAUUAAGAAUAAAAAUAUGAGUCCUUACAUCCUCUCCCCCUUAAAAGAAUUUCGUCCACGAAAUUCAUGCCUUGAUUCGAAAAUAGGUCUAAAUAUUUCUUUGGAAUUUCCUUCUCUACUUCCCAAGUUGCUUUCUCUAUUCCGUGAUUCCUCCAUAGAACUUUGACCAAUGGGAUUCGCUUAUUCCUUAGUUCCUUCACCUUACGAUCCAGAAGCUUCACUGGUUUCUCCUCAUAGGUCAGUAUCUCGUCGAUAUCAAUAUUUUCUGGUUGCAGUAUAUGGGAGGGAUCUGGAUGAUAUUUCUUGAGCAUAGACAUAUGGAAAAUAUUAUGAAUUCGAGACAAACUUGGUGGCAGUUCCAAUUUAUAGGCCACGUUUCCCACACGUUGAAGAAUCUUAUAAGGUCCUACAAAUCUCAGUUGCAACUUUUUUCCUUUUCCUGCUAUCAAAUUUGCUUUCAGAGGCGUGAUCUUAAGGAAAACUUGAUCUCCAACCGAAAACUCCAAAUCCUUUCUCCGGUUAUCUGCAUAGCUCUUUUCACGGCUCUGAACUGUCUGAAUCCUUUGGCGUAUUAACUUCACUUUUUCAUACGCCUCUUCAAUCCAUGGUAUUGCAGUUGGGUCUAAAAUCUUUAUUUCACCUAUUUCAUCCGAACAUAUCGAAGAUCUACACUUCCAGCCAUAAAGUGCUUCAUACGAAGCCAUUUGAAUAGAUGAAUGGAAGCUAUUAUUGUAAGCAAACUCCACCAACGUUAAAUACUUACUCCAACUCUCUCCAAAAUCUAAAAUACAUGUUCUCGACAUGUCCUCAAGGGUCUGGAUUGUCCUCUCAGAUUGUCCAUCAGUCUGUGGGUGGUAUGUAGUGCUAAAACUCAACUUGAUUCCUAGCAUUUCUUGCAUCUUCUGCCAGAACCGAGAAACAAACCGAGGGUCUCGGUCAGAUACAAUACUUACAAGUAUCCCAUGUAGCCUUAUAAUCUCAUCCAAAUAUAACUUAGCUAAUUUCUCCAGGGAGUACGUCAUACUAAUCGGCAGAAAAUGAGCAGAUUUGGUCAGUCUAUCCACUAUUACCCAAAUGACAUCAUACCCUCUUUGUGUCCUAGGUAAUCCAGAUACAAAAUUCAUGGUGAUAUUUUCUCCAUUUCCACUCGGGUAUCUUUAAAGGUUGCAAUAAGCCAAACGGUUUCUGAUGCUUAGCUAUAACCUGCUAGCAGAUCAAACAAGUCUGGACAAAUUGAGCAAUUUCCUUUAUCAUAUUUUCCCACCAGUACAGACUCUUCAAAUUUUGAUACAUUUUAUUUUCUCUAGGGUGUACCGUAUAUUUAGAACGGUGCGAUUCCUCCAAGAUUUCCCUUUUUAGCCCUUCAUUCUUAGUACACCAUUUAUUCCCAAAUUAAAAUCUGACUUUUUCCCCUUAUUAACUUCCAACCACUUUUGUAUUUCGGAAUCCUUUUCUUGUGCCUCCUUGAUACGAUCUAGCAAAACGGAUUUCACAACAAUGUUCCCAAGGAUUACCUUUCUUAGUUCAAGACGAGGGUUUCAACUACUAACUUCUUCCAACAAAUGAAAGUCUUUGAUUAGCAAUCCUGUCAUUUGCACUUGACGACUUAAAGCAUCGGCCACCACAUUAGCCUUCCCUGGGUGAUAAUUGAUCGUGCAAUUAUAAUCCUCUAAAAAUUUCACCUAUCUACGUUGUCUCAAAUUUAACUCCUUUUAGAAAACAAGUACUUAAAACUCUUGUGGUCGGUAAAAACCUCAAACAUCACCCCAUAUAGGUAAUGUCUCCACUUUUUCAAUGCGAAUACUACCGCCGUUAAUUCCAAAUCAUGAGUUGGAUAAUUUCUCUCAUGAGGUUUUAACUUCCUAGAGGCAUACGCAAUUACCUUAUCAUUCUGCAUCAAUACACACCCCAAACCUUCUUUGGAAGCAUCUGUAUAGACCACAAAGCUAUCAUUCCAUUAGGUAAAGCUAAAACAGGUGCUUUUGUCAAUCAUCUUUUUAACUCCAGGAAACUUUCUUCAUACUUAGGGCUGCAAAUAAAUUUCUCACUUUUCUUAGUCAACUCAGUCAUGGGUCCCGCAAUUUUAGAAAAAUCUUUAAUAAACCUCCGAUAAUACCCUGCUAACCCUAAGAAACUUCGAAGUUCAGUAGGGUUUUCUGGUUACUUCCAUUUAGAAACUGCUUCAACUUUGGUCGGAUCCACUUUAAUUCCUUCCUUGGAGAUUAUAUGACCUAAGAAUGUCACUUCCUUCAACCAGAAUUCACAUUUACUAAACUUAGCAUACAACUGAUGUUCCCUUAAGGUUUGCAAAACAAUCCUCAAAUGUUUCUCAUGAUCUUUCAAAGUUUUAGAGUACACCAGUAUAUCAACAAUGAACACCACUACAAACUGAUCCAGAUAAGGUUUAAAGAUUCGGUGCAUUAAAUCCAUAAAAGCUGCAGGUGCAUUAGUCAACCCGAACGACAUCACUGCAAACUCAAAGUGUCCAUACCUCGAGUUAAAGGCAGUCUUAGGUAUAUCUUUUUCCAAAAUUCUCAACUGAUAAUAACUCUGCCUGAGAUCCAACUUUGAAAACACUACCGCCCCUUGCAAUUGAUCAAACAACUCAUCGAUGUGGGGUAAAAAGUACUUAUUCUUGACGGUAACGUCAUUCAAGUCUCGGUAGUCUAUACACAAUUUCAAGCUACCAUUUUUCUUUUUAAUGAAUAACACCAGAGCUCCCCACGGUAAAUCACUUUCUUUUAUAAAGUCUCGCUCUAGUAAAUCCUGUAAUUGCAAUUUCAGCUCUUUCAAUUCAGUUGGAGCCAUUCUAUAGGGCGUCUUAGCGAUAAGUGCUACUCCUGGAGUCACAUCAAUUUUAAAGGCUAUCUCUCUUUCCGGUGGCAAGGACUCUAGUUCCUCGGAAAAAACAUCCGCAUACUCCUUUACUACGGGCAUAUCUUCCAACUUCACCUUAUCACUAGAAGUAUUUAUAAGAAAAAUCAAAUACCCUUGAACUCCCUUACUUAACAUCUUUCUAGUUCGAAUUUCUGAAACAAGGACAGAUGAAGCUAGUCUACCCCUUACAUCUAAUUUUAGGGUUGUCUCUCCCGGAAUACACAACUCUACCAUUUUCGUCUUACAAUUCAACUGAGCAUGGUAGUGAACUCACUAAUCCAUUCCUAAAAUGACAUCAUACCCUUUAAUAGGUAAACUCAUCAAAUCGGCUAAUAAUUUUUGCUCUCCAACCCAUAUCUCACAAUCUCUAUACGCCAAGUUGGCAAUUAAACUUUGAUCCCCAAUAGGCGUUCUAACCUCCAAGUCAUAAGGUAAUUUAAUUGGUUUCACGUCUAUCCCACUCAUGAACUUAGGGUUCACAAAAGAAUGUGUUGCACCAGGGUCAAUUAAAACCUUAGAUAAACUGUAGAAAAUAGUGAUCGUAUCUUCAACCACCUCAGUAAAAUCGGGGAUCUGUUGAUGAUCCAGAGUGUAAACCCUAGCAAACACCUUAGGUCGACUCCCUCUGGCACUAGACUGCUUAGAAGCUGACUUUUCUGGCUGUUGAGUACUACCUCCUACUUUCGGCACACUUGGACAACUUAAGAGUUGGUGCUCGGCACUGCCACAGUACAAGCACUUUUCCGAUUUUCUCCAACAAUCAUUCUCCGCAUGAUUAGAGUUGCCACAAUAGCGACAACUAACUUGAGGAGUCACGGCUUGACCAUCAGAAGGUGUUCCUCUCGCUUGACCUUGCCCAUUACGGCCUCCUCUUGAUAAAGUCCCUCUUGGAGCUCCAGCGGUCCUUACUCCUCCCGUUCCUGUUCCCAUCUUAGGAGGUGGAGCACUUUUACUUGCCUGUCCAGAAGGAUGACUAGGAGCGCCCCUUUUUUGGUAUAAAAGUCCCUAACUUGCAGUCUUGCGCUUUCGACUCUCUGCGCUUUCUCUAGAGUUUCAGUAAACGUAGAAAUUUGGGCUGCGGCUAACCCUUCUUGAAUCUCCAUAUUAAGUCCUUGUACAAAGCGCCUUAUCCUUCUCCGUUCAUUAGCCACCAAUUCCGGAACGUAUUUAGAAAGUUUAGUAAAUCUCUCCUCAUAAUCAGCCACACUAGAAGCCCCCUGUCUCAACUUUAUGAAUUUGUCCUUCCAUUUCUCUUGAAUCAAAUGUGGGAGAAACUUCUCAUUAAAUUCUCUUAUAAAGUUUUCCCAUAUCCAAGGGGUUUGCGCUCUUUCCCAUUUUUCCCUUAUCACGUCCCACCAAACACGUGCUGCACUCUCAAAUUGAAAGGCGGCAAAGUUCAUUCGCCUCUCCUCAGUAUAAUCUAAGGCGGCAAAUAUAUUAGUCAUUCUCUCCAACCAGUUCUCCGCUAACUCAGGGUUAGGUCCUCUAAUAAACUUAGGUGAAGCAAAUUUCAAAAAUCUCUCCAAGGCUCUAUCCUCCACUCUAUCCUGAGCCCCGAGUUAGUUAACAGGUCCUGGACCCUGUCGCUCUGCUAACCACUCUAAAAUAUCCGUCAUAUGAUUGAUAGCGGUAGUUACUUGGUUAUCCCCUUCAUUUACUUGUUCUUGGCUCGGUCCAGUAUCUGACCCUUAAUCGUCUCCUUGAACUUGGGAUUGCUUAGCCCCAGGCCCUCGGUCUCUUCCACUUCUUCGACCGUCCAUGAUUUUAAUUAUGUCUAAAUGUAAGAAAUAAAAUAAUUAUGCAAGAGAAUACUUAAAAAUAAAAGCUAACAUGGAAAACAUCUGAAAUAAAACAACUAGCAUAUAUUAACAUUUCAAGGUUCGUACAAUUAGGAAGUCACGAGACAUUUAAAAAAACAUAGCACAUAGGUGCCACAAAAGUACAUUCAGUCAUACACGUCAAAAGUAAAUUCAAGUGCUUCAAAAGAUAUGUCACACAGUUAAGCAAAAUAUAAUGACCUUUGAACUAGCACCACCCCAGCUAAUCCUAACUACAAAAGUCAAAAGAUUCAUCAAUCCAAACCUAAUUCUCAAUAGGACCGUCAUGCAGGACCUCCUCCUCUAGGUCCUCCUCAAAAGGCUCAUCCUCGGAGUGCCCUCAUGAGCCGGGUUCUCGACGGCAUCUAUCACUUCCUCUAUCAACAUAGUAGUGUCGGCUAAAAUCCCAGCGGCCCAAUCCCGGAUCUUCUCGACUACCCUAGCCAAUCGAGUCCUAAUCCUCUGAAACUCGACAUUAAUAGCUUCAGCUCUAGUCCGCUCAUCUAUCACUGUUCCCUCGAACUCCACGAUCCUAGCACCCUGGGCAUCCACCAUAACAUUCAGUUCCUCGAUCUCCUAAAAUAGUGUCAUAUUAGUAACCACCAACUGCCGGCACUCAUCGUCGAUGGACAAUACAAGAUCAUUAGGAUAGGUAUGCGUCUCCCUACACGGACAAUGGGAAACCUAUUGGAAGGCGAGUAUCGGACACGAGAUCCUCCACCCAGCACUCGGUAGCGGAUAGGCCUAAGAGACUCCACAUGACCAUUAGUGGCUCCAUUGCCGUUAGCAGCAUGACCUUCAUUUCCGUUCUCCAUUCCUACAAAACAACCACAGAUUCUAGGUUAGAAACUUAAAGUCACUAAUUCGGUCAAUCAUCACUUAAGGUAUAACAAAGUUAUCGAAUUCCUAUUCCCAAGAGUAAAGCUUCUAAAACAUCUCCCAAAUAGACCUCUAAAUCCAGCAUUCUGAUACUAACUGUGAUGCCCCCACUUCUCCCUAAGGCGAACCAAAGGGUAUCGGGGAGACGCCUGCCUAACUCUCGCCAGGACUCGAUGCAAGUCAAAUCCAAACUUAAAGAUAAACAAUCGAUAAUAAAAGUCAAAAUAAAGAAAGGUCGCUUCCUUAAAUAAACUUUCAAAUCUUGUAUUCCAAGUUCUCAAAAGUACAAUAACUUUCUCAAAAUACAAUCACUAUAAUUCGACCAGUCAAUUACAUCCCAAGAUUUUUAUCAAAAGUAAUCAAGUUGGCUUCCCCAAAAUUCUUCCCAAUCCGAGCUCCUGUUAAGGAAAACAAACUAAUGGGGUGAGCUAACGCUCAGUGAGGCCAAGAAAAGUAUGCAAACAAAUAGUUCAAAUAACAAUAAUACUUAUAUAGGGAAUAAAGCUAGGAAGUUCAGGAAAUUUACAAUUAAUAAUAAAACACAAUCAAUAAGGAUACGGGAGCUCUCAAGAGCUAGAUUCCUCUUGCUUUGCCAAUGCUCGGUCCAAUACCUCCACUCGGUGACACUCCGUCAAUCAGGUAGGUAUUAAGUCCGUAGAACUCCACUUAUUUCACAAUCUCGUUCACCGUUACACCCCCUGUUCCAGGCCCACACUUCAGCUAUAAAAGGCAAUACUAUUCGAGUAUGCCAAGCGAGAUCUCUCAAAAGAUCAAGCUUUUGUUUUCUCAUGGUUCACCAGGCUUCUAGAUCAAGCCCAUGCCGGCUUGAGUCGGAAGGUUGGCCAACGAGAUUUGGGCGUCCCCCGAUGAACGAUUACAGUUGAAACAAUUCGCUCAAUUCAAUUAUCAAUUCACUUCACACAAUUCAAUUAUAAAUUCACUUAAAAGAGAAUGAGUGCGAUAAAGUACACACUCGUCUCGACAAUUCCAAAAUACUCAAUUAAUAAGGGACAAUUCAAGUAUUUAGCAACACUUCAUGCACUUAACACUCACCAAUUCAAAACAAGUGAGUAAGUGAGUAAAUAAAGUCUUUAGUUGUCCGCUCCGAGAUUCUCUUCAAGAUCCUCUUGAGCGCUUGAAGAAAUAACGAUCAACUAUCACUCACAACCACUUUUCAAUCAAGGAAGAAAGUACAUUCGCUUGAAAUUUAAGAUAAUGUCUUAGAAGAGCCUCAAUCCAUCGAAAAUCGAGAUUUAAAGGUAAGGAUUUAAAGUCACAAGGGAAACUUGUAUCCUCCAUGAAAUCACAUUUAAAGCGGACUAUCAAUAUCGAAAGAAAGUGAAAAGUUUUUAAAGCUUAUUUCCUACGAAAUCGGAAAUUUUUAGUUUUGCGCGACAAAAUUUGGAAAAUAAGAUCUUGAGUUUAGUACAUCCAAAAAUGAAAAACUUUAUACCGUUGGAAACUAGAUUAAAAGUACUAAACUUUCAUGAAGAUACUUUUCCAAGAUUCCAACUAGAAAGCAUUCAAAUUUUAGCUCAAAGUUACGGUUUCAAGAAGACAGGACAGAACCAGUCUUGAUUUUUCAGCAAUGUUUGAAAAUUCGGCAAAAUUCACAGAAAGUGAAUUAGCCUCUGAAUUUUAUAACCAAUAAGAGUUCCAAACCAUGUUUCAAAAACAACAAGCAGAACUAAAUUUGGAGUUUUGAGCAACAAGAUAUAAUAGUUUAAAGUUGGCUGAUUUUCGCAACCUGUUCAGAAAAUUUCCAGUUUCCAGCUUUGACACAGUUUCGAAAUUAGAUCAUAUCUAAUUCUACACAAGUCCAAAUUGAGAUUGGUUAUGUCGUUAGAAGAUAGAUUCAAAAUGCUACAUUUUAUCAGAAGACAUUGUUUUAAAAAUCCUUUCACAAGUAAGACAAAAUUGAGCCACAAGAUGCAGCUUCCCAGUUUCUCUAGGACAGAUAGGUAGAACAGAACAGUCUACUUUGCUAAUUCGUUGCGGUUUAUUCAAAAUGAACUAGUAGGGGAUUCUUAUACCGUUUGAAAGCACUGAAUGUCUAGUUUUGAAUGCCGUAAAUGGCACUCAAUUUUGACUUUUGUACAAAGAGUUAUGUUUAGACAAAGAACCACUGGUUGGCUACCCUGCUAGUGAAUUUCUAAAUUUUGAACUUUUCCAAAACUCAAGUUUCGCACAAUCAAUUUGAGAUGAUUUUCGCAAGACACUUUCUACUACAUACAUAAUACAACAUGUAUCAAUCAAUUUAACAGCCAAAUAAGCAGCAAAAUUUCGAAUUUAAAGCAGGACAACAAGAGCAGAAUAUCGGCCAGCUCACUCUCACGGCUUCCUUCAAAUUUCUCUCCACUAUCAAACCAUAAUCAAGCUAUAAAUCACAUAAACAACCACAAUCAAGCAAUAUAGCCUCAAGUCAGCUACCUAAAGGCCUCUUCAAGACAUCUAGCUUAGGAUUUAAAGUAAGAUAAAUGUUUCCUCAAGUCCGCUAACCUUUAAAUUUCAUUAGGGUUUCAAACCCAUGAAAUCUAACCGUCAAUCUUAGUAAAAUUUGAAAGGUUAAGGAGAUGAAGUGAUUAGCCUUUAAACCCUAGAUGAAGACCAGAUUUUUCCACCAAAAUCACCAAGCAACACCUCAAGCUUUCACCUUUCUUCUAAUUGGAGCAAAAACCCAAGGGAUUGUGAGUUGGAUGGAGUGAAUCAAGCAAACUUGGAGCAAGAAGUUGAAGCCUUUCUCUUCCCUUUUCUUUUCCUUUGGUCGGCCGAGACUGAGGAGAGAGAGAGUGAGGGUUUAGUGGUUUGAUUUCUUGGAGGGAAAAAAUGAAAAAGGUAGCCAUAAAGUGUGCACAAAAGUCAACCCUCAAUAAUGCAAAAUAGUGUCGUGCACUACCACUUCCUCUCUCGUUUGAUACACUUAUGCACUAAUCUUCCAAGGUACUUCUUCUAACAUUUUAAUUACUCAUACUUACAAGUCUAAUACUGAUUCCUCAAAUCUCCAAUUAAUCAGAUCGACACGACUUUCGAGAAACUUUCAACGCGCUUGAAAAAAAUGAAAUUUAAGGGAAAUUCAUGCAAUACUAGAAUAAUUAAAUAACACUAGGGAAAAUAAUUAUAAAAAUGACUAAAUUAAGAAUAAAAACAAGAGUCCUCACAAACAACCUCUUCCUCUUCCACUGCUACACCUAACUCUACCCGUGUAAGGUCCCUGCGUAGAUUACCACCCUCCCCACUAACCACAAGAGCAAUAUCAGUUAUGACAACCAGAGGAGAAGAGGGCAAUUUGACUGAAGUUUCUGGCGAACUGUUAUCAGGAAGUACCGAUGCAUCCAAGGUAAUAGUGUCACUCCCCAGCUUUGAUUUCUAGGUUUGUAAAUCCUCAACUACCCCUACAAGAGAAUUUGUUGUCUCAUCAGAAACUACACUCGACUGCUGCUCAGCAUUGCCAUCUGGAAAUCCCGUACUCUCCUUCCCCACUGAGAUAGGACCCAAAUGUUGCUCUUCUGACAUAUGCUGCACCUCUGUACAAGCAGCAGCAACUGAACUUGGUACUGUCGCAACCUCAGCUAUAGUUUUCUGAACCUGCAAUUCACUAGGGACAGAAGCCAUCGUCUGGGGCUGAGAAACCACACAAUUAUUCUUCAUCUCUUCCCUUUCUACCCGAAGUUCUGGAUGGAGAAGACGACACAUAUUCUGAUCAUGCCCUUGCUGAAAGUAAUGAUAACAAUAUCGUGGGUUGUUUUCUGGAACUAGAUUCUACAAAAAAAGCUCAUGAUCCCCAUUACCAAUCCAUAUUCUACUAGGAAAUGAUUUAAUCAAAUCAAUUUCAACACAAACUCUUGCCAUACUUGGACAAGAGCCAAAGGCAGUAGCUGUAACCACGAAUAGCGCCUUGCCUACACAACUAACAAUUUGAAAAAGAAACUCCUUAUUAAAGUAGUGUAUCGGUAGUUUUGGCAAUUGAAAUCAUAAUGGAAUUACUGAAGGCUCCCAAUCGACAUGAAAUGCUGGAGACCACCUAAACACCCUCAUUGGCAACCCAAAAACUUACCAAAUACCCCUUGUUCGGAUUCUAUGGAAAUCCACCUCAGUUCCCAGCCUAAUAAGUACAUGUCUAGAAUCCAACAAUCAACCGAGGCUGUCUCUUUUAAAUCAAUCAAAUGGAAGAAAUUUCUCAAGUCCUCAAUCUUUGGCCGUCCUUUAGAGAAUUUUCCCACAAAUGCAAACUUCUACGAAAUAGAUAACACCUCCAAAUCAGCCUGUGCAAACAUAAUGGUUGGGUCACCACGGUUUGAAGACAUCUUGGCAUUGACUUUGAGCGCAGGCUUAGAUGACACCAGAUUCACAAAGAGCUCUGAGAAGGACUUUUUAUUAAAGGUAGGAGAAGCUGGAGCAAAUUGCCCUCCGGACAACUGCCGGAGGGCAACCAUGGCUGCCAUGCUAAGCAACGAAAACCCUAGUAAUUAGAAAACCCUAGAAAGAUGGAAAUGUUGUGAUUUAAUAUCUCUAAAGUCCCAUAAUAGUAAGAAAGCAUUGAAAAAUUGGAAUGUCCCAAUAGUUUAGAUGCAUAUUCAGGCAUAUAGAUUUCUACAUCUAGAAAAUAAUAUAGUAAUCGAAUCUUUAGAUGCAAUAUUUCGUGAAAAUAAGUUUCCAUUUAAAUUUAAAGAUAGGGGGUCUAAAAUUGAAUGAAUAUAGUAUUUCUAAAGAAUAUGAAAUAUCCAAAGAAGCUAAUUCUUAUAAUACUAAUACUAAAGUAUUAACAAGAGAAAAAGAACAAUUGAGAACUAGUAAAAGGAAAAGAAUAAAAAAAGACUUUGGUCUUGAUUUUCAACUUACAAUAUAGAGGGAGAUCCUAUAACUAUUUCUAAAGUUUUAUCAUCUUUUUAUUCUAAUUUUUGAAGAGAUACAAUUAAUGAUAAAAUAAAAUCUUUAAUGUCCAAUAAAACAUAGAAUUAGUUGAUUUACCUCCAAGUUAUGAACAAUAUGCUGUAAGUAGAUAUUAAGGAAAAAAAUUAAAACUGAUGGUACAAUAGAUAAAUAUAAAAGCUAGACUUGUUGCAAAAGGUUUUAAGCAAAAAGAAAAAAUAGAUUUCACAAUAAGCUAUAAGUGGAUAUUAAGGAUAAAAUCUAAGCCUGAUGGUACAAUAGAUAAAUAUAAAGUUAGAGGCUUGUUGCAAAAGAUUUUAAACGAAAAUAAUAAAUAGAUUUGUUCAACACUUAUUCACUAGUUACAAGAGUAACUUCUAUAUGACUUUUGAUAGCCUUAGCAACAAUUCAUGAUUUAAAAAUACGCCAAAUGGAUGUAAAAGAAAACUUUUCUUAAUAGUGAUUUGGAUGAAAAAAUUUAUAUGGAUCAAUACGAAGGAUUUAUUCAACCUGGUUUAGAAAAUAAAGUUUGUAAAUUAAAUAAAUCUUCAUAUGAACUAAAACAAGAACCUAAACAGUAGCAUGAGAAAUUUAAUCAAUAGGUAUUGAUUAAUAUCUUUAAGUCAAAUGAAAGUGAUAAGUAUAUUUAUUAUAAAUCUUUUAUCAACUCUCAUGUGAUUAUAUGCUUAUAUGUUAAUGAUUUAUUGAUAUUUAGUACUAAUGUGCGAGUAAUUGGGUUUACAAAAGUAUUACUUAACAAUAAUUUUGAAAUGAAAGAUCUAGGAAAGCCAAUAUCAUAUGUUUGUAUGAAAACUACUAAAAAUACAAAAAGGAAUUUUUAUUGAUCAAUCUCACUAUAUUAAGAAAAUAUUAAAAAAUUUUAAUUAUUUUGAUUGUAAAUGGAUAUGUACACCAUUUUAUCCUCGUAUGAUUAAAAAUGAUUCUGAUGUAAUGAAACAAAAAAAGUAUGCUAGUAUAAUUGGUAGUUUAAGGAAUGCAACUGAUUAAAUUAGACCUGAUAUUGCAUAUGCAAUUGGUGCACUUAGUAGGUUCACUAUUAAACCCAAUUUUACACAUUGGAAUAUGAUACAUAGAGUCAUGAGAUAUCUUAAAAGAUCUUUUGAUCAUGGUUUAUUUUAUAAAAAAUAUUCCAUUGUACUAGAAGCUUUUAAUCAUGUAGAUUGGAGUUCACAAUCUAGUGAUUCUUUCCAAUACGAAUUAUGUAUUUACAGUCAAUGAUUGAGCCAUAUGUUGACAAUCCAAAAAACAACAUAUAUUCACAAAGUCCACCAUAAAGGUAUAGCUAAUUGCACUUGGUCCUACAUGUGAAGAAGCAGGUUAGUUACUUGACUUACUGUCCGAAAUUUCAAUGUGGAAUAAACCUAUACCACUUAUUUUAACACAUUGUGAUAGUACAACUACUAUUGGCAGGCUUCAUAAUAAAUAUUAUAAUGGAAAAUCAAGAUCUAUUAGGAGAAAACAUAGUUCUGUGAGAUCAUAUUUGAACAAUGGUUCAUUAACUAUUGAUUUUGUAAGAUCAAGUGAUAAUCUUGCCUAUCAGCUUACAAAAGCUCUAGCUAGAGAAAAAAUUUGGAAAGCAUCAAGAGAGAUUGGACUAAAGUCCAAAAAUGUAAAAGCUACCUAUGAGCAAACAACCGCCUAGGGACUAGAGAUGCCAAAAACGAGGUUGAAGGCAAGCGAAUCAUAAAGUCGCUUGUUGUGAUACAUGCACAUUUUUAUUUACUCUAAUCAUGUGAUGCAUAUGCAUGUAAUUCCGUGACGAAUGUGAGAGGUUGAGAACUAACAUCUUAAUGAGUUCUAUAAGCCUUACGGCUGGGAUGUUUUAGUUACGGAAACAUCCUUGAUAGACUCACAUAUAUGAGUGUAGGGAUUUGGCCACCGUUAUAAGAAUUUGGGCUAGUUCUUUAAAGCACUUAUGAAAGUGGGGUAAAGCACAUGGCCAUAAUGUGCUGGCUUGAAAAGCUUGUUUAAGAACAUCUUGAAUAUCAAGUGUGUUAUGAAUUCUACGUAUUCUCAAGUAGUCAUAGUUCAAUAGUUAAUUCCAUUAUGACUCUAAUAUGGGAAAAUUGAAACACUAAAUGAAAGUUUAAAAGCAUUGCCACUUUCAUGCGUCAUGAUGUUCUCACUAAUGCCCGAGUUAUUUUUAUUAAAAUAAGUGGGGAAUUGUUAUCACAUAUUUAUUUUUGAAUUCAAUCCGAUAUUUAUUUUGAAUUCGAACUCAUUAUGUUACAAUUCUUUAAUGAAUUUUCAGCUAUAAAUUCAACCAUUCAAUAGUGUAACUUAUGUCUUUGAAAUGAGAUUUAUGUCUUGAAUUGUGUAACCAAUGUAAUCAUUAGUUUGAUGAAUUAAUUAGUAAAUUUUUACUGUUAUACAAUGAAACUAGACAAUUUCAAUUUGUAGCUGAAAAUAUGAUGUAUUUAUUCUAUUUAAUGUUGGCAUUUUAAUACUCCUAAUUUUUCAACCUAUAAAUAGAGGUUUCUACCGACCAAGUCAUAUGCACUUUGCUAUCUAAAAACUAUCUUCUAUUUCUCUUGCUCUCACUACUAUAUCGGACAUUAGUUAGGUGUUGAGAAAAGUUUUAACUUCUCUAAAUUAUAUAAGUUUAAUAGGAGCAACAUUGAAGGUUGGGCUGUUGUAUCACACAGGCACUCAAGACGGAGGAGCGGUGCAAGACAGAAGAAGAUCAAGUGCUAUAGCAUGGAGAUAUCUUGGAUAUUCUCUUGAUCACUUGUAUGAUGUCCACAAGUCAAUGAAGAUAGCAACGGAGAUUUGAGAUGCACUUGAAUAUAAAUAUAAUACUCAAAAAUAAGGUGCAGAUAAAUUUCUUAUAAAGAAAUAUUUCAAAUUUUCUUUUAAUGAUUAUUCUUCUCUUCUUGAUCAAGUCCAUGAUCGGCAAGUUUUGCUUUCAAAACUUAAAGAUCUUGGUGUGAAGAUUUCGGAGCCAUUACAAGUGGGGGCAAUUUUGCUAUAAUUGCCCCCUAGUUGGAGUGACUAUCAAAAGAAACUGCUUCACACCUCUCAAAUAUUCUCAUAGGAUCAAAUUAUGAAACAUCUUCACAUAGAAGAGGAUGCUAGGAUACAUCAAAAGAAGGAACUUGUGCCUAAUCUUUAAGAUAAACUAUAUGGAUGAUAGGAAUAACCAAGAUAAUAGCCAAGUUGGAGGGUUUAAGAAGAGGAAAUCAUCUAGCCAAAACAAUGCAAGUUUAAGGGACAAGAAGAAGAAUCAAACAUAUUACAACUGACAAGUAUAUAUUUUACGUGUUUUUAGUGUGUUUUAUUAGUUAGUUUUGGUGUUUUUUAACUAGUUUUAUAACUAAUUAACUAGGGGUUUGGUAAAAAUGUACAUUUUGUGGUUCAAAUGACAAACAUUGCAUUUCUAUGGAUUUUAAUGGUAAAAACUUUAUGUUUUGUAGGUUUAAUGAUUCAAUCAUCAAAGGGUGUGAAUUGAGAAGAUAAUUGGAUGAUAAUUGAUGAUUUGAAAUGGUUAAAAAAAACAAGAAGUGCAAAAUAUUCAAAUGAAGAAAUGCAAGUGAAGAUAGUUUUGACACAUCUUCAUAUUUUGGCAAUAUCUUGAGCUACAGUGAUCGGAUCGAGGUAAUCUUUAUACCAUUUUGAAGCUAAGAGAUAUAUUUACAUUUGGUAUGAGAACAUAGAAGUCCAAUUCAGUUGUUUUCCUGGUCAAAAAGUCGAAACACAGAAGCUUAUUUGUAUGGUCGAUAGCUGAAAUAGAGGAUUGACUAGUCAAUGGUAUUUCGAUCAUAUCUCAGACCACAGAGCUCCAAAUUGGAUGAUUCUUGAAGAUUAGAAAGCUAUCUCAAAGAGCUAUAGCUUUCAUGUUUUGCUCAAGAGCUAGUUCGACCUCCAUCAUAGAGAAAAUAGCAGUUGAAACGAGACCAAAUUCACAGAAGUGAAUAUAUGACUUAGUCCCUGGGGCUGUACCAAGAGUUGCCGGCUUUUGGUAUUAGCUCUGGGAUUAGGUUUAUUUCAUUCGACAAAAGUCAAUUGCUUUGAGUCGGAAAAAGACAAACUGCUCGUUAGGAUUAGCAUGCUUAGUUCAUGUGCCGGGGUUCUUAGCUUAGGUUGGGAACACCUAGAGUAGUUUAUCCCACAUCGGGUCGGGGGGUUGGGUUAGUUGGGUAGAUAAGUCCCUGGGGCUGUACCAAGAGUUGCCGGCUUUUGGUAUUAGCUCUGGGAUUAGGUUUAUUUCAUUCGACAAAAGUCAAUUGCUUUGAGUCGGAAAAAAAUAUAUAUAUAUGACUUGAGAAAACGUGGGUUGUAGUCGCGUAUUCUCAAGUCGCAUAUUGUAGCCUGAUUUCAGCAACUUGCUCAGCCACUUGCCUUGUUUUCAUACUACUUUCCAGCUAUAGUUGGAGAGAGAAUUUUGGCUGUACAUGCUUCUGAUGCAAAAAGAAAGUGGAAAGGAGCUUUAUGUCUUGUCCAAAGCCCACCUUUUUUACUCUCUUAACAAUUAGAUGUUAGAAUCAUUAGAAAAAGAGAGUAGAACAUAUUAGAAGUAGCUCACAUCAGAUUUUAGCAUGAGAACUUGAAAGGAAGUCUUGUCUUGUUCUCUCUAGCUAGCACUUUUUGUGAGAACAUUUGGAGACUUCAUUGUACACCAUUUUGUUGAAGAAAUUGAAGAUCAUUGGGAGUUUCUUCAUUAUUUUGGCUAAGCUUUCCUUUUCUAUCUUUAACUUGUGAUUCAUGAUGUGUUCAUGCAAUUAAACUAUGUGUUUUCUUGUUAUAUCUUACAUGAGUAGCUAAUUUUCUAGAUCUAGGGAAUAGAUGAAACUUAUGGCUAUUUGAUAUGAAGUGAAUAUGAUUUACACUUGUUACAUCUUGUAUUAAUUUGUCUAUUUGUGCAUGAUGAUCACUUGUUGUUGCUUGAUCACCAAUAACAAGUUCUUAGUUGUUAUUAUUCAAUGAAAAUUGGUAAUAAUAAUGGAACAACAUGAGUAGAGCUUGAGUAGCAGACUCAUGAGAAUAGAGGUACACUUAAGUGGAUUAAACUUGCAUUUCAUGAAGGAAACAAGAGUAGAACUAGUUAUUCACCAUGAGAAUAGGGAAAACUAUAGACUAUUCUAGGCCAUUUCAUCAUGAGAAUGAGGUUUGGUAAUGUUGGAAAUGAACCCCUAGUUAAACAAGGGUUGUAACAAGAGAUAAAUCUAUUCAUUUGUGUUGCUUAUGCCAUAAGUAGAAUCUACAUCCCUAAACUCAAGUAUUUAGUGAAUUUUCUCCAUUUGUUAUCUUGCAAUUAUCUAAUUAAGGUUUGUAGGUAGUAGUAAUUAUAGUUUCUCUUGCUUAAAUUGAUUGUUAGUCUGAAUAAUAGAGUAAGUUAGGACUUAGUACUUGAAAAAUCACUCCGUGGGAUCGACCCGAUAUAUGCCCUAAACUACUAGUUCACCUAUAUACUUGCAGUCAAAACGGGGAUAAAUUGGAUUUAAACUUGUACUUAUAUCAAAAAUCUGUCAACAACUAUAGCAAAAAGGGGCAUUACAGGGAGUGCAACCAAAAUGAGAAACAAAAGAAAAAUAAUGCCCAAACAAGAUUUGUUGAAAAUGAUUAUGUUGUAGAAAUUAAUACAAUGGUGUUCGAGUGGAGGAUAUAUAAGAUUUUCGAAUUGAAUGUGGCUUCUUCUCCAUUCAAUUCUUGUGAUUGGUGGUAUGACUUUUGAUGCAACUGUGCAUGUGUGCAAUGACAAAGCCAUGUUCAAAAUUUAUGAAGAUGUUCCUAAUAGACAUGUGGUAUUUAUGGGCAAUCAUGAUACCACCAAAGUUCAUGGAAAAGGGAUAGAGAGUUGCUAUUCACAUGUGGUGAAAAGUUAGCGCUCACAAAUGUAUUACAUAUUUUGGGUAUGAAGAAAAAUCUUGUAUCAACCAAUAGGCUAAAUAAAAAUUGUCUUAGGGCUAUACUAGAAUCUAAUAAAAUAAUCUUGUCCAAGAAUGGUGUAUUUGUAGGACAAGACUAUUCUUGUGAUGGAAUGUUUAAACUAAGUAUCAAUAAAGUUAUUAAUUCUCCUUAAAGACUAAUUCUUCUUAUCAUUUGUGGCAUGGUGGGCUAAGACAUGCAAAUAUUGGGACUUUACAUUUUAUGUCUAAGCAUCAAUUGCUUAUGGUGAUAAAGAAGACAGAGAUGUGAAAUUUGUAUUCAAGCAAAAAUGAUUAGAUUACCAUUUUCUAAGGUUGAAUGAAAUACAACCUUGCUUGAACUUAUAUAUUCUAAUAUAUGUGAAUUAAAUGAUUUAUUAACAAGAGGUGGUAAUGGGUACUUUAUUACUUUUAUUGAUGAUUAUUCAAGAUUUGUGCACGUUUAUCUUAUGAAAAAUAAAUAUGAAUGUUUUGCUAUAUUCAAAUCUUACAACUUGCUCGUUGAAAUCCAAUUAGAUAAAAAAAAAAAUCAAACUAUUGAGAAGGGAUAGAGGAAGUCAAUACUUUUCUAGUGAAUUCUCAAUAUUUUGUGGACAAAAUGGAAUUAUACACCAAUCAAGUGCACCAUAUACUGCACAACAAAAUGAUUUGGUUGAAAGAAAAAAAAAUGGAACUUUAGGAGAUAUGAUUAAUUCUAUGUUGGUAAGUUUUGGUUUACCAAAGAACUUGUGGGGUGAAGCAUUGCCGGUUGCGUGGUAUGUACAUAAUAGAAGUGCUUCAUUAAAAAUAAAAGUCUCUCUAUAUGAAGUAUGGAAAAGGAGAAACCAAACCUAAGUUAUCUUAGAGUUUGGGGUUGCAUUGCCUAUUAUAGAGUCCUGGAUAAUAAGAAAAUAAAGUUGGGGCCUUAGGCACUUAAAAGUUUGUUAUGAGCUAUGCAAAAAUUUUCAAACUUAUAGGUUGUUUGAUCUUGAUUAGAAUGUUAUUCUUGCGCCAAGAGACAUGCAAUUCUUUGAGAGUAAAUUCUUAAAGAUUCAGUGCCUAUGAAAGAUCCUACUAAUGGUUUGGAACCUCUUCAAAGUGUUGAUCCUUCUUCUAGUGAUAAGAGGGGUGAAAUUGACACUCCCAUUGAAUCUAGGAGAAGUCAAAGGCCUACAAAAGAAGAGCAUUUAUCAUCUAAUUUCAUAUCUUCACAAGCUGUUGUCCUCUUGGAUGAAGGCAAUAGGGAAUCUCUACAAAAUAAGAUACCAAUCUUAUUGAAUGUAGGAUGUGAUCCUAAGACAUUUAUUGAAGCUAUAUCAUCAAGGGAAUCUGCAUUUUGAAGAGAAGCGAUAAAUGAUGAAAUAGACUCAUUAUUGUCUAACAAUACAUGGGUUCUUGUUAAUUUACAACAAGGUUCAAAACCAGUAGGUUGCAAAAUGGGUAUUUAGAAGGAAAUAUGCCAUGGGUGGAUCUUUGCUAACCUUUAAGGUAAGGUUAGUAGCUAAGGGAUUUAAACAAAAAGAAGGAAUAGAUUAUUUUGGUACAUAUGCGCCAGUUGCUAGAAUUACAUUCAUUAGAGUACUAAUGUCUUUAGUUUAAUUGUGCAAUUUGUUUGUACAUCAAAUUGAUGUUAAGACAGCCUUUUUAAAUAUUGACUUGGAUGAAAAUGUGUAUCUGGAACAACUUCAAGAGUUUGUUUUGACUAGAAAUGAAAAGAAAGUUUGCAAACUAGUUAAGUCAUUAUAUGGCAUGAACAAGCACCUAAACAAUGGUAUGAAAAAUGUGAAUAUCUAUUACUCUCAAGUGGAUUUAGAUAUAAUCAUGCUUAUAAGUGUAUUUAUUCUAAAUUUGCUCAAGAGUAUAGUGAUAAUUUGUCUCUAUAUAGAUGACAUGCUAAUUGUUAGUAAUACUAUGAAAAAUGUUGAAGACACUAAGAAAUAUCUUUCUUUAAGGUUUAAAAUGAAAGAUAUUGGUGACUGGACACUAUCUUAAGCAUUAAAGUUAGGAAAUAUAGUGGGAGUUAUGCUUUGUGUCAAUCUCACUAUAUUGACAAGAUAUUGAAUAAGCUUCAACAUCUUAAGAUUAAAGAAGGGAGUACUCCUUUGAUCCUAGCUUGAAGCUUCAUAAAAGUUCUAGAAAUCCAAUUACUCAACUUGAGUACGCUAGGGCAAUUAGAAAUUUGAUGUAUGCGAUGCAUUGUAUAAGACCAGAUAUUUCAUGCACAGUUUGUAGACUUACAAGAUACACUAAACAUCCCAAUGUAGACCAUCGGAAGUCUAUUGAGAGGGUUUUUGGUUAUCUCAAAAUAACGACAACUCUAGGACUCUUUUAUAAUAGAUUUCUGGCAAUACUUGAACAUUACAUAGAUGAUAGUUGGUUCAUUCGUGUGACUGAUAAGAAUUCUAUAACCGGAUGGAUAUUCACUUUGUAUGGUGGUGCAAUCUCAUGAGCUUCUAGAAGCAAACUAUGAUUGCUUAUUCCACUAUGGAAGCUGAAUUCAUAACUUUGGCUGCUGUAUAUAAAGAGGCAGAAUGGUUUAGAGACUGGUUACUUGAUAUCAAGUUGCAAACAUAACCUAUGCCUCCAAUCUUUUUAUAUUGCGAUAGUGAAACUACUAUGUUUAGAGUUUAAAUAAGUUGUACAAUGAUAAAUCUAGACAUCAAUUUAAAACAUGAGUAUCUUAGACAAAUGUUACAAGAUGGCAUCGUGACUGUUGUACAUGUAAGAGCAGACAACAAUUUAGCGGAUUCAUUGACUAAGCCCUUUGUAGACAAUGGAAUUUUAAUUAAAUUCUAAAAAUUACCAUUGGUCUAUAAAUUAUUUUGUGGCUUAUUUCUAUCCAAUCGGGUAUUGCCACAUGUCAUGUACACUUGGAAAAUUUGGUUAUUAAAUGGCCAAUUAUAUUUCUCCACGUGUCAAGGUGAGGUGUUCCAAAUUUAUUUAAAUUGCAGGGAUAUCUCCACCAACCAAAUCAUAUCAUAUCACAUGUCUACUGGAUAGACAUUUAAAUAUUUAUUUCUUAUUAAAGAGAUAAUAUUUAGAGUCGUUUGAUCCAUAUAUAUCUCUUAUAUACUGCAAUGGUCCGUCCAAUCAGACGGCGCCACGUCACUUGUCCCCACAGGCUUGGCCAAUCGGGAAAUUACCUAUGUCUUUAUUGAUAAAUAUAAAAUGAAGAGAUAAUAUUUGACUGGCACAGUCCUAAUAUGACUGCACGUCUUGCAAGACAAGUAAAGUGGUACACAGGUUCUCAACCUCUACCUCUUGCUACAACUAUAAAUAGAGGUCUCUUAACCAAAUCAAGGACACAUAGAAACACACAGACAGAGACACACCAGGAGGCAUCUCAUACACUCAAGUAUUGAAGCUCCAAGCUACGAAGGUCUGGGUCUCUAAGCUCCUCAAGUCUUCCGCAUAUCAAGACUUGAGCCUUCAAAUAUUCUCAAAUUCUUCAAAUCUUCUAUAUCAAGAUUUGAAGGAAUCGGUGGUGGAUCCGAGAACAAGCUGCGAAGCCCUUGGAUUAGCAUUCGAAGAGGAGAAUCGAGGGAAACUCUCUACAAGUUCGAGAAAACCCCAGGGAUUGUACUCACAUAUUUUCUUAAAUUUAUAUUACACAUUUGUCGUGUAUAUUUCUUGUUUUUGUUUGCAGACUUGAAAAUUUUAUCGCGUACAAAUUUUUGGCACGCCCGGUGGGACCAUCUCUGCCUUCCAUCUCUUCUUUUCGAAUAUUCAACUACAUACAACAUCAAUGGCACCAAAGAGCAACAAAAUCAUGAUUGCACGUUCCAAGGCUACUGAUGCUAAGCCUGUUCAGGAAGCUGCACAUGUUGCCACCAACACCCGCGCUAUUGGUCCCAUGACAAGGAGUAUGACGAGAGCCUCCACCCAAAGCAGCAUGGAAGCUUCAUCGGCGCCAACUCCCGUCUUCGGUUCAAUACCACCAAUGAGCUAUUCUUCCACGAUGGGGAUCCAAGACGUUCCUGCCUCAAUUGAGAAGGCUCUCGCCAUGCUCGAAUUUGGAUCCGAACCCAAAUUUUCUGAGCAUGAUGAUGAUUCAUCAAGCACGGGAUCAGCUUCUUCACAUGAAACCCUUCAAUCAAAAUUUUCUAUGGAAGAUUCUGCUGCUUCUUCUACUGCAAUGCCUGCUAUGAUGACAAAUGCUUUAAGUCUUGAAGAACAAGUUUCGAACAUGUCUAAGAUGAUGGAGAUGAUGAUGAAACACAUUAAGGACCAAGAUGCUCUUAUCGCUCAACUGCUCACCCAAAAGGACCACGCUCCUGAAGGAAGCCAUAUGGAUUCUAAGGAGAACCAAGAGCGUGAAAAUCCCUCAUCUAAAGGUAAAGAUAAGGUGAAGGAAGUAUACGUGACCGCCGAGGGAACUAUCCCCGUAGAACAAUUGAAGGAACUUGUUGAAGGCGUGAUCAAAGACAAAAAUGGGGGUAGUUCAAGAUCGAGUUUUACCUACUCCAAACCUUACAUUGCUAGAAUUGACAAUCUAGCAAUGCCUGCUGGAUAUCAACCGCCUAAGUUUCAACAGUUCGAUGGGAAAGGUAGUCCAAAACAACAUGUGGCUCAUUUUGUUGAAACCUGCAAUAACGCUGGAACUUAUGGUGACCUACUAGUCAAACAGUUUGUUCGAUCCUUGAAGGGCAACGCAUUUGAUUGGUACACUGAUCUCACGCCGGGGUCCAUCGACAGUUGGGGACAGCUGGAGCAAGAAUUCUUGAAUCGUUUCUACAGCACUAGAAGAACCAUUAGUAUGCUGGAGUUGACUAACACUCGUCAAUGGAAGGAUGAACCUGUGGUCAACUAUAUUGAUAGAUGGAGAAGUCUGAGUCUCAACUGCAAGGACAGACUGUCCGAACCCUCUGCCAUAGAAAUGUGCAUCCGAGGAAUGCAUUGGAGCCUAAGCUACAUUCUACAGGGUAUACGUCCAAACACGUUUGAAGAAUUAGCUACUCGUGCUCAUGACAUGGAGUUAAGCAUCACGGCCAAUGCAACUGAUAGGCUUCCUAUUCAAGCUCCGCGAGUACAGCCACCUCGGCAAAACAAUGAAAGACAAGAAAAUAGAAAAGGGGGCAAGCCUCCUUCAAGAUUCAAUAAUAAGGAAUCCAUGGCAAUAAACACAGCUCCCAUGAAAAUUGCUACCAAAGUGAGCCGAAAGGUUACUGAGAAGUUGGAUCCAUCUCAAAAUAGGUCAGUAAGAAGACCCACGUUAAAAGAGAUGCAAGAAAAAGAAUACCCAUUUCUUGAAUCUGAUUUACAAGGGAUGUUUGAUGACCUUUUCAAGGAGAAACUCCUUGAACUUCCCGAAAUGAAGCGUCCAGAGGAAGCCGGUCAAGUCAAUGAUCCAAACUAUUGCUGUUAUCAUCGCCUGAUUGGCCACCCUCUCACUAAAUGCUUUGUCUUUAAAGACAAAAUUAUGGAAUUGGACCGUCAAGGAAAGAUCCUUCUCGAGGAAGAUAAAGCAUCGGCAAACCAAACAACAAUAAUGUUUGGAUCUGUGUGUUGCCCGAUAGAAGUUCUACCCACAUCAAGCAGUGCUCUGUCUGUACAAACGGAGUUUGAAAAAUCGUCAAUUGAAAAUGUUAUCGAAAAUGAUAAUGAAUGAUGGAUUUUAGUCACUCGAAAAAGGACCUGCAAGCCAAAGACAAAGAAGCACAUCUUUCCGAAAAGCAUGCGCUCGACAAAGGCUAAAGUAAUAGUGAAACGACAAAAUGCAACAAAGAAACAAAAGAGAGUCGCCACAACACCAAUUUCAUCAGAUUUUCAACUUCUUCAAGAGGUUCGACAGCCCGUGACAUUGAGAGAAUUUAUACCCAAGGGGUAUUUAAGUGACGAUACUGAUAAUUCCACUUCUUGUAAUGUCGUUAAAGCUGAAAAUCCUCAAGUCACACAAAUUGGCACUGAAUUUGAGAAAAAACUCAAAGUCGAUGAUAAAUCACCGGUGGAUUGUGCAACGACCAUCAUUUUUUAUGAUGACGAUUUAACUGUUGAGUUCAAGACCCACAAUCGACCUUUGUUUGUUAGUGCAUAUGUUCGAGAACAAAAGAUGAAUCGGAUACUCAUUGAUGGGGGAUCUGCUGUCAAUAUCAUGUCCGUACGUGCUAUGAAAGAGUUAGGAAUCUCAAGUGAUGAACUCUCCCAGAGCCGCCUCAUGAUCCAAGGAUUUAACCAAGGGGGGCAAAGAGCAAUUGGCCUCAUAAGGCAUGAAUUGCUCAUUGGUGAGCUGUCUUCAAGCGCGUUAUUUCAUAUCAUUGAAGCCAAAACCUCUUAUAACAUGCUCUUGGGAAGGCCCUGGAUUCACGAAAAUGAAAUUAUACCAUCUACUCUAUAUCAAUGUUUCAAAUAUUGUCGAGACGGUAUUGUUAAGAAAGUUACUGCCGAUGACAAACCUUUCACGGAAGCCGAAACUCACUUUGCCGAUGCCAAAUUUUAUCUUCACAAAGAAGCAAAAAGAAAGGAAUCGGUAAGGGAAGAAAGUCAAGAUUCCAAAGUACCCAUUUUGCGGUAUACUCCAAGAUCAAAGAGAGAAGAAGGUCAGUCUUCUUUUAUCAGAAAUGACACGUUAAAUGUUCCGCUCACCAAGAUAGAGCCUGUUAAAAUUGAGAAGGUGAGCUUGCAAGGGUUUGUCCGUCCCAAAGAAGAACCGGCAGUGGAACAUUACUCGCUACCAACUAAUCGGACUCAAGAAGGUUUUGAUCCAAACGCCUAUAGACUUCUUGCUAAGGCGGGUUAUAACCCAAAUGAGAAGAAUACAUUGGGCAAACUCCCUCCUGAAGUAACUGGCGAGAAGAAUCACGGAUUGACACCUACGCAGAAAAUGUUGAAAGAAAGGGGCUAAAAUGUUGAAAGUUCAUCGAUGGGUCUUGGUUAUCAACCGCCCUCUCCUGUUCGUAUAAUGAUCAAAAGAGCAAGUUGUAACUAUGUGAAUGAAGAAAUGGAGGUCACAAGCCGAAAGAGAUCUGUGUUCGACCGAUUGGGAAAUAGGUCAAAACGUACUUCUGUGUUUGACAGACUUGGCCCGCAGCCGAAAAAUCUGAAGUCGCCCGUCUAUAAGAGAUUAGGCAGUAAAAAACAAGAGUACCAAGUUGCCAGGGAAGAAAGUCUUACUCCAAUAAAGAGGAACGGACCAAGAAAGCGAGUCUCCAAUUUCUUCAUGCACUAUGGAGACUUAUUCAAUGUAAGAAUUGAAACCAUUCUUGAAGAACAGGGUCAAGAAAGUAUGGCUUCCUGUCACCAUAUUACGAUUAGUGAUCCCGAAGAAGAAGAAGAAGAUGCAAAUGACGCUCCCCCUGAACUUGAACAAGGGGUAAAAAAUACAGUCGAUGAGCUAAAAGAGAUUAACCUUGGCACAAGCGACGAUCCUCGCCCAAUUUACAUAAGCUCUUGUAUGACUCCUGAAGAAGAAAUAGAGUAUGUUGAUUUGCUGCUCGAGUUCAGGGACGUCUUUGCCUGGAAUUACUCAGAAAUGCCUGGUUUGGAUCCAAGGGUCGCCGUUCAUAAUUUGUCUGUCAAGCGAGGAACAAAACCUGUCAAGCAAACGCAAAGGCGCUUUCGGCCCGAAUUGAUUCCUCUGAUAGAAAAUGAGCUAAAUCGAUUGAUUGAAGCCGGAUUCAUACGAGAAGUAAAAUAUCCAACAUGGAUUUCAAGCAUCGUCCCUGUAAGGAAGAAGAAUGGGCAAAUUCGAGUUUGUGUUGACUUUCGAGACUUAAACGAGGCUUGCCCCAAAGAUGAUUUUCCUCUCCCCAUCACAGAAUUGACGGUAGAUGCUACAACUGGGCAUGAAGCACUAUCUUUUCUCGAUGGAUCGUGUGGCUACAAUCAAAUACGUAUGGCGCCCGAGGAUGGGGAGCUAACCGCCUUUCGCACCCCCAAGGGAAUUUAUUGCUAUAAAGUAAUGCCGUUUGGCUUGAAAAAUGCUGGAGCGACAUAUCAAAGGGCAAUGCAAAGAAUAUUUGAUGAUAUGCUCCAUAGAAAUGUGGAGUGCUACGUUGAUGACCUUGUGGUGAAAUCAAAGAAGCGAGAGGAUCAUAUUCAAGACCUUCGAAGAGUUUUCCAACGCCUUUGGAGAUACCAAUUGAAGAUGAAUCCUUUGAAAUGCGCAUUCGGAGUCACUUCUGGCAAAUUUCUUGGUUUCAUCGUUCAUCAACGGGGAAUAGAAGUCGAUCGAUCUAAAAUUGAUGCCAUUGUGAACAUGCCUGAACCGCGAAAUAUUCAUGAAUUGAAGAGCCUUCAAGGGAAGUUGGCAUAUAUCCGGAGGUUUAUCUCUAAUUUGGCCGGGCGAUGCUAACCCUUUAGUAGACUGAUGAAGAAAGGGGUACCCUUCGAGUGGGAUGAAUCGUGUAGGAAUACUUUUACAAGCAUCAAGGCGUAUCUCAUGAAUCCCCCGGUGCUGGCUGCGCCCAUUCCAGGAAAACCAUUGAUUCUCUAUAUUUCCGCUCAAGAACGGUCGGUUGGGGCCUUACUUGCUCAAGAAAAUGAUGAAGGUAAGGAGAAUGCACUGUAUUACUUGAGCCGGAUGAUGACAUCUAAUGAGUUGAACUACUCACCCAUCGAGAAGUUGUGUUUGGCACUUAUAUUUGUCAUUCAGAAGUUGAAACAUUACUUUCAAGCACACACUAUUCGACUCAUAUCUAAGUCUAAUCCCAUUAAAUAUGUCAUGGCAAAACCUAUACUGUCUGAUCGACUCGCCAGAUGGUACCUCCAGUUUCAACAGUUUGAAAUUAUUUACGUACCUGCGAAGGCUGUCAAAGGACAAAUAUUGGCAGACUUUUUAGCCGAUCAUCCCCUACCUGCCGAGUGGGAGUUGACUGAUGAACUUCCCGAUGAAGAAGUGUUUAUGGUCGAAUCGUCGUGGUCAAUGUAUUUCGAUGGAGCUGCUCACCGUGAUGGAGCUGGUGCGGGAGUUGUCUUUUAUACUCCUGAAACAGAUAUAUUGCCAUACUCUUUCACUUUAACACGCCGGUGUUCCAACAAUGUGGCUGAAUAUCAGGCGUUGAUUCUCGGUCUUGAAACGGCUGUAGACAUGAAGCAGUUGCAUCUUAGAGUCUAUGGUGAUUCAAAAUUGGUGGUAAAUCAACUUCUUGGAAUUUAUGAUGUUAAGAAACCUGAAUUAGUCCCAUAUUAUAAGUAUGCAAGACAACUCAUGGGAUAUCUGGGCAAUGUCACUAUAGAACAUAUCCCUAGAAAUUUCAACCAACAAGCUGAUUCUUUGGCAAGGGUGGCGUCCAUGAUCACUCUACCUUCUCAUCGAAAUCAGAUUUCAAUAUGUCAAAAUUGGGUCAUACCUCCGAUGUUUGAUGAAGAUGAUGAUGGUGAGGAAGAAAAUACUUAUCAUAUUUUUGUCCAUGAGAUCGAAAAGGAGGAUUGGCGUCAUCUCAUAGUAGAUUACCUUAAUCAUGGGAAGUUACCAGAAGAUUCCAAGAAAAGGGUUGAUAUACGUCGUCGAGCGCCACGUUUCAUUUACUACAACGGGACGCUUUACCGAAGAUCAUUCGAUGGGGUAUUUCUACGAUGUCUUGGGGAAGAUGAGGCCAUGCAAGCAAUGGAAGAGGCUCACUCUGGGAUAUGUGGUGCUCACCAAUCUGGCCCGAAAUUACACUUUCGCAUUAAAAGAAUGGGAUACUACUGGCCAACAAUGGUGAAGGACUGUAUCGAUUUUGCUAGAAAAUGUCAAGCUUGUCAAUUCCAUGGCAAUUUCAUCCGUCAACCUCCUGAACCAUUGCAUCCAACUGUGGCGUCUUGGCCAUUCGAUGCCUGGGGUUUGGAUAUAGUUGGACCACUUCCAAAAUCUUCUGGCGGACACAUUUUCAUUUUGGCGGCGACAGAUUACUUUUCAAAAUGGGCUGAAGCGGUUCCUAUAAGAGAGGUCAGAAAGGAGAAUGUAGUAGAUUUCAUUCGCUUGCACAUCAUUUAUCGGUAUGGAGUCCCGCGGUAUAUCAUCACCGAUAAUGGUAAGCCUUUUUGCAAUGUAGCAAUGAACAAACUUUGCGAAAAGUUUCAUUUCAAACAAUACAAUUCGUCCAUGUACUACGCUGCUGCAAACGGACUCGCUGAAGCAUUCAACACGACCUUAUGUAAUCUGUUGAAGAAAAUCAUGGAUAAAUCGAAAAGGGAUUGGCAUCUUCGGAUUGGAGAAGCGCUUUGGGCAUACAUAACUACUUUUCGAACUCCCACACAAGCAACCCCAUAUGCGCUUGUUUACGGUGUUGAAGCUGUUCUUCCACUUGAGUGUCAAAUACCUUCGCUAAGAAUUGCAAUUCAAGAAGGGCUCAGUGGAGAAGAUAAUGUUCGUCUUCGCCUCGAGGAAUUAGAAGCACUCGAUGAAAAGAGAUUGGAAGCUCAGCAACGGAUUGAGUGUUAUCAGGCUCGCCUUUCAAAGGCAUUCAAUAAGCACGUUCGACCCCGCUCUUUUCAAAUUGGAGAGUUAGUGCUCGCCGUUCGGAGACCAAUCAUUCUCACUCAUGGGGGACAAAGAAAGUUUACUCAUAAGUGGGAUGGUCCAUAUGUCGUUCGAGAAGUAUAUACAAAUGGCUCAUACAAGUUGGUUGCUGAAGAUGGAUUAAUGGUUGGCCCCAUCAAUGGCAAGUACCUAAAAAGGUACUAUGCAUAAUCGAAACCGCGCGAUGCUCCUGGCCCGCAUGAGCUAAAACUGUGGAUGGCAACCACCAAUAGUGUAGUAUGUGGCUAAACUGUUGAAACACCCCACCAAGUCUAAGGUGGUAAACAAAUAGAUACUCCUGGCCCGCAUGAGGUUAAAAUGUGAACGGCAGGAACUACGUGUGACUUGAUUCCCUUGUUGGGAUACGUAGGCAGCUUAGAGGGCAACUUCUAAGUUCAGUUACACCACUCCAAAUCAAAUCCUUGUUCCUUGCAAAAAAAAAAAAAAAAGAAUUUUCUCUUUCUAUUCUUGGAUAGACUUGUCUAUGGAUUUUGUCUUAGGACUCCCUAGAUUUUCAAGGGGUAAUGAUUCCAUCUUUGUCGUCGUUGAUAGAUUUUCUAAGAUGACACAUUUUAUCCCUUGUCACAAAACUGACGAUGCAUCUCACAUUGCUAUUUUGUUCUUCAAAGAAAUAGUCCGUCUGCAUGGCAUGCUUAAGACCAUUGUUAGCGACAGGGAUGUAAAGUUCUUGAGUUACUUUUGGAAGACUUUAUGGUCUAAACUUGGCACCAGAUUGUUAUUCUCCACCACUAGUCAUCUACAAAGCGAUGGACAAACUGAAGUUGUCAAUCGCACACUUGGUACACUACUUCGGGUUUUAAUUAAAAAGAAUCUUAAAACUUGGAAAGAGUACUUGCCUCAUGUUGAAUUUGCCUACAAUCGAACUGUUCACAGUGCUACAUACUACUCACCUUUUGAGAUUGUUUAUGGUUUUAACCGCUGACCCCCUUGAUUUAGUACUCUUACCUUCCUCUGAGCACACAAGCUUAGAUAGAAAAAAGAAGGCUGAAUUUGUGCGCAGGUUACAUGAAGUCGUUCGGGCAAAUAUUGAGAGGCGUACUCAACAAUACAUCCAGCAAGCCAACAAGCACCAUCGCAAGAUGGUUUUUGAACCUGGAGAUUGGGUUUGGCUAUACUUGCAAAAGGAGGGAUUCCUCAAGCAGCGACAAAGUAAGUUGUCCCCAAGAGGUGAUGGACCCUUCCGAGUCCAACGAAUUAAUGACAACGCUUACAAAUUGGAGCUACUUGGGAGUACAAUGUUAGCGCAACCUUCAAUGUCACGGAUUUGAGCCCGUUUCUUGACGAGGAGGAUCCAGAUUUGAGGGCAAAUCCUUCUCAAGAGGUAGUUGCUUUAGAAGAGCAUGGGCCACCUAUCUUGCCUCUAAGAUGGCCGAACUUCCCUUCCCUAUUUCGCUUAGGUUUUAUUAGCCUUAGCCUAUAAAAGGACGUGCUUUGUAAGGUUUUAGGGAAGACAUUUUAUGAAUAAAAUUGUUUAGUUUUUCGACUUUCUUCCUUGUGAGAAUUUGAGCCUUUACUUGCUCUUGGCAAGGGUGUUUGAGUAAUCUUGCAUCUUGUCCUUAAUUGUUCUACCGACCUAUCCAUUAGAGUAAUCACCUCUGUUGGAGUCAUCGUUCUACCGCCUUCUACCAAUUCGUGUCGUCCGUAUUGGUUUUAGAUCCCGCAAUCCAUGCGUUGGACAAUCUCACUAGAUCUUUGGACAAAUGUGUAACGUGUCUCGAAACGAGUUGAUCGAGGACCGUACCAAUUGGCUUCAGAACUUAGGUGGAGGUAUCUUUCGUUAUAUUCUUGUUAUUCGUAGUUGUGUCGUAGAAUUUUUAUGUUUUGUUCGCUGACUUGUUUUUUUUUUAAAAAAAGUCACUGUUCAUCGUCAGUUCACCGACACUGUUCAUCGUUACUGUUCACUGAUACUGUUCAAGUUACUGUUUACCGACACUGUUCACGUUAUUGUUCAUCGAAUACAAAAUCUGUUGGUGUGUUAUCUCCUUUGUGUUUGUGUUUAGUUUGUUGAUAAUUUCUAUCCGCAAAUUGUUUCUUGGUAUUGAGUCGUUUGUUGCAUCAAAAAUUUUGAUCGUUGGUGUUUCAAACUGUUGUGUGGUUGUCGCUUGGGCAGCAAGAACAAUAAUGUGACGGCUGCUAGGGCUUUCUUAUCUUGCUGGGGUUUCCUUCUUUUGCUAGGGUUUCCUUAUCUUGCUAGGGUUUCUACUUGCGGCUAGGAUGUCUACUUGCGGCUAGGGUUUUAUUUGCGCUAGAGUUUCUUUGUUUCAAAUCUGUCCAAAUAUUGCUUUUUCAUCUAAGUUGUUUACUAAAUUUUUCAAAGUCAAUUAGGAGACUAAGUAAAGCACUUGAAUGACUCUUUUCUCACUUGGACACUCUCCUAUAUUCUCUCCUGCAUUUUAGGAACACUCUCCUAUAUUCUCUCCUGCAUUUUAGGAACAUUCUCCUACAUUCUCUCCUACAUUUUAGGAACACACUCCUACAUUUUAAGAAGCUAAGUUUUCAUUGAGAUUCCAUUCACACUAGCACAUCCAUCAAAUCUGUCCAAAACUUCCCUUCAAAUUCCAGCCACUUAAACAUUGUCAUCUUGGAGUACUUGGAGAGAAGUUGAUUGAAAACUCAUUGAGGAAUUCCAUUUCUUCAAGGGAACAAUCUGUGACUUGAGAAGUGUCGUGAGAGCAUUAGAGUGACAUCCAUAUACACGAGUGCGAGUGGAUACACAUAAGGGAGCGUGAAAGGCAAUAUCUUCGAUUUCGUUGCUAACUGUUUGCAGGUUCCCUCAUACAUUCAUAGCGAGUACAAGACGCAUAAAAGCUAACUCACAACAUUGUCGUCCUGAUCUUUAGGGAGUCAAAGAAGUGGCCUUACGUGGCGUAGAUGAGCAAUUGGAUAUCGUCAAAUCUCAGUUGCUUGGUUGGUUUUAUACCCGUUGUGGUGUCAAAGAUAAAAUCUGCAGCUCAGCCAUUGACGGGAGUUGUGAAGUCAACUUGCAAGCGCUAUCAUGGUUGAGAUAUUAAAUCUUCCAACCAUUGAUCAUCUUCAACCGUACAAUUGAUGAGUACUCAUGGUGAUGUUUGGGUUACUUAGCACACACUUGUACCUAUUCAAAUCGACAAAUAUGUGGAUGAGGUGUUGUGUGAUGUAGUCCCAAUUCAAGUGACCAUGUGUUGUUGGGCAAAGCAUGAUGUCGAGGCGAGAAAUUAAAUAUGAUGGACAUACUAAUAAAUAUUCCUUCGUAUUUAAUGGUCGUCAUUUAGUACUUGUAGCACUUACUUAUGACUAGCUUUGUAUUGAUUAUUAUCCAUGAAAAGGGAGCUUGAGCGUUAUAGGAUGGAGAAAAAGCUGGAGAAAAAGCUAGAUGAGAAAUUGAGUCUGAAGAGGUAAAAUUCGAAGGAGUUGAAAGCAAUGAGAUAAAAGGGUCAGCUGUUAAACUAGAAAAAAAAUGGACAAAUCUGAUGAGAUGGGUGAUAAAAAGGAAGAGAAGAGAGAAAGUGGGCUGAUUUGAGCAAAAUAUUACACAAAAUCAAGUAGAGCUAGUCAUGACAUGUUUCAUUCCGAAGACACUUGGACACUUUACGAGUUUCCAUGAGUUUGUCUUCUAGGAACUAAAUCUCUUUGGUAUCAAUUCAUGGAACAAAACCCAUUCAAACCUGUCCGCGCCAUUGGAGGAUUUGUUCGAGUUCAUCUUAAAAGAGAAAUUCAGAUUCUAUUGCUUGUUCUCUACCUGUGGUUCAUUCCUCAUCUUUGCCUUAUUUUGACAUGUUACUAGCCCUAACCGUUGUUGUUCUUGUGAUUUUGAUGAGAAGUGUAAAGGACUAGCACUAGAACCUCAAGUUGAAUCAAUUGAUAGAAGGAAUAUUGAAGUGUCAAAGGGAGUUUUCACAUUUAAAUCUUGUUCUACACAUUCUUACCAUUUAGUUAAUAAUGUACCAUUAGUUCUUUAUCCAAUUUCUGAAUUGUUUCAAGUGACGGUUAUUUUGUUUUUACAGGUUGUAAAGCUGUCCAAAAUUUUUCAACUAUGACUAAAAAGUUGCAACCUGAUUUCAUGCUUGUUCCAGCUACAUGUUGCACGAAUGCAUGUGAUUCGUAUGGGGUGAACUUCACUUCAUUCCUGUCGCUUAUGUUGGGUGAUGCAUGCAAGGGUGUCAAUCAAGAUCCGAGUGCUGUUCUUACCUCACUGGUUCGUGUUUCUACGGAGAUGCAACAUGGGUGGCUCAGUGUCCCACCUCUAGAGUGGCAAGUUGUGCCAAUUCAGUGCCUAGGGCCGAAUUACACCACCUUGCACAACAGGUUCGAGGCUUUUCUAGUUUCAAUAAACAUCGUUAUGAAGUGCAUGUGAAUGUCCGUGUCCGAAGGCUAAUUAGCGAGCUUUCGGUUGCAACUGGAACGUUCACAAGCCUUAUACACGUUCCUUCCUACCUUGGCGAAUGUCCUUGUUUGAGAACCCUUGAAGCUGACCAAGAGACAUGUGCACCGAAUUAUCUUAAUCAUAAUAUAUGCAAGUAUCCUUCAAUCUAAGAGGGCCAAUAUGUGGAGACUUAGGUGUCACACUACCCACUCUCAUUGUAUCAUUCAUUUCCAUCCAGAUUUGAGGACAAAUCCUUCUCAAGUGGAGGGGACUGAUGUGUGCACGGAUCUUGGCCCACGCAAUGACCCAAUCCGAGUUCCAUUGGCCCAUCACAUGUGAACGGAUCAAGCUCUUCAAAGAAUCCCUCCAAGCCUUGUCCAAAUUGUCCAAAUCCAACAUGGAGUCCAUAGAGAUAUUGAAGGCUUAGAAGGAGACAAUCAAGUUAUCUACACCAUGAUCCAAGCCAUGAAGAGACAAGUGGACCUCCAAGAGAGUUGGCCGAGUAGGGCUUAGGCCUUCGUGUUUAAUAGAGUUGGAUUAGUUUAUUUAGUAGAGCAUGAGCCGGCCCAUCUUGACACCAAGAUGGCCGAAUUUCCCUUUCCUUUUCCUUAGGGCUUUAGUAACUCUUAGUCUAUAAAAGGCUGCUUUGUAAGGUUUGAAGGUAGACGUUUUAUCAAUAAAGUUUGAUUAUUUUGUUUCUUCCUGUUAAGAGAGAUUCGAGCCUUCUACUUGCUUUGGCAAGGGUUAUUGAGCAAUCUUGCGUCUUGUCCAUGAUUGUUCUACUGACCUAUCCACUUGAGUAACCACCUCGAUUGGAGUCGUCGUUCUACCGCCUACAAUCAAAUCGUGUCGUCCGUUUGAUUCUAGAUUUUCGCAAUCCAAGCGUUGGACAAUCUCGCUAGAUCUUGGACAAACGUGUUACGUGUCUCGAAACAAGUUGAUCGAGGAGCCAUUGGAGUAAAGCCAUGAGUUUUUCUUGGCUGGACAUGAGCACCGAAUCAUAGUAAUCAUGACGUGUGCAAGUAUCAUUCAGUCUAAGAGGGCCAAUAUGUGGUGGCAUUAGAUCUGGCGUUCAUACUACCAACUCUUGUAGUAUCAUCAUUUCCAUCCAGAUUUGAGGACAAAUCUUCUCAAGUAGAGGGGACUGAUGUGUGCACGGAUGGGCCUUGACUCAAGGCUUUCAUAGAGACAUUGAAGGCUUGAAGGAUGAUAAUCAAGUUGUCUACAUGAUGAUCCAAGCCCACGAAGAGAGUCCAUGAAGGGUUGGUUGACUAGUUCCUAGGCCUUAGUGUUAGGUUCAAUUGUUAGAUUGGAUUAGAUUAGUUUAUUUGAGUCAUGGGCCGGCCCACCUUGUCCAAGGAGUGGCCGACCUUCCUUAUCUAGUUUAUUAGGGUUCCAUUAGUUUUGCCUAUAUAAAGGCUUGCUUUGUAAGCAUAAAGGGAAGACGUUUUAUUAAUAAAGUUGUUAUUUUCAAUUCUUCUUCUUGAGAGAGAAUUCGAGCCUUUACUUGCUCUGGCAAGGGUUGUGAGUAAUCUUGCGUCUUGUCCUAAAUUGUUCUACCGACCUAUCCAUUAGAGUAAUCACCUCUGUGGAGUCGUCGUUCUACCGCCUAUAAUCAAAUCGUGUCGUCCGUUUGAUUCUAGGUUCCGCCAUCCAAGCGUUGGACAACCUCGCUAGAUCGUUGGACAAACGUGCUACGUGUCUCGAAACAAGUUGAUCGAGGACCGUAUCAUUUUAUAUUUUAUGUAGUCCUAAUAUCUCUCGUAAAUAGAGUAAUCAUUGAAUACACGAGGUACAGUCUUCCAUGGAUUAGUAGAUGGCGCCAAACAAACAAGUAAUGACCUUAAUUCUUCACUCACUCCUCCAUCACGAGCACUUACUGGUUCGAGAUAUUUUGUCAUCGUAACUCUUAAUUUAUUCCUGUCAUGAAACUCAAAAUCAUCUGAUGUAAUAAAAUCAAUCUCACUAACUAGCAUUAAAGAACAAGAAUCAGGAGAAUAUUGAUUAAAGAAUGGAGGAGAUGUCACCGCAGUUGGAGAUUGUUCACCGGAUUCAUUCACUUGAACAAUUUGAUAUUGGGACCCCAUUUCUUGCACUUCAAUUCUUUUUCAACUCCAUCUUUAGAUCCUUCUUUUUGAGACUCUUGCAGUUCCAAUCAUUUAUCAGGAUAAUUACACUCUUAUCUUCUUUAAGAUCGACGUUGGUCUAUUCUUCAUAAGUUGGAGAAGUCAAUUGCAUUAUCCUAAUGUCAAUUGAUUCACUUGAUCUGCUAGGUUAUGAAUGCUCGCUUGUCUCCUAAUGAAACCGAUAUGUGUUAGAAUUAGUGAUUCAAUCAUUUUUUCAAGAGACAUAGCUGACAUAGAUGAUGGUUGUUGAGACUCUUGCUAUUGAAAAUCCAUUGGCCCUUUUGAAUAAUUAAGAUUGGAAAUAUCCCACAUCCUUGAUCAUACCCGUUUAAAUAAGGGUCAUACCACGCUUGAUAUUGAGGUAGAAAAUCUCCAAAAGUAUCGAUUGGAGCACUUAGCCAUCUUGAAAUGCGGGGUAUAUGUCGGUUGAAUGAUUGAGGCAAAAUAACUUCCACAAUUUGCAACAGCCAAUUGAUCAUUAGAAAAAACAUGAGCUCAUAACCCCUUCCACAAAUCAAAUCCAGUCUAUCACCAAAAUACGGAAUGUUAGCAGCCAUAAACUAUAUAUAAAAAAUAAGAGAAAAAAAAAAGAAAACAAGAUGAACUAAAAAAGAAACAAAUUAAUUAGGCAUCAGUCCCGACAACGGUGCUAAAAAUUGACAGGUGUCAAACCUGUGCAAUAAUAAUAAUGUUAAUCCUAAAUUGCCAACAAAAGCGGUUCCAAGUCAAUUCUAGUACUGGAGCAGGGACUCUAGAUGUGUAAUGAGUUACUAGAUUCACCCUAACUCCGAAGAGUUUGCUAGAUCCGAUAUACCAGAAUUUAUUCAUGAGAAUUUGUUAAUUUGUAUAUAGAACAAGUAGGUCGUAUCCUCAGGAACUGAAAAAAUUUACUCCUUUUCAAGUCAAGGAUAAAUGGGGGUUUUGAGAAUUAAAAGCUAAUGAAUUAUUAACUAAAUUAAUCGACUGCGAAAAAUAAUUAAAAGAGAAAUAAUGAGAAAACUUUAGCCAAGGAUACACUUCAGAGAUGGUUCAUGUAACUGAUCAUUGCUACAAAUAUAAUUACAACAUUUAUUAAUAAGCAGGUUUUUAACUGUCGAUACGAUCUGACAAUAAACAUGCUACGGGGGUUUAUUUAAAUUAUAUUGUAUGUUUCCCCGACACUAACCCAAUUAUGCCAGUUGCUACCGAGAUGAGAGUAAUCAAACAAUUACGAAUUCAACUACCUCCAAUCAGCAAAUAGACUACAUGAAUAAUUAAAUAUUGCGCAACUAUCCAAUCAUACAUGAUAGUCACAGCCACUAAGAAUAGGAAACAUACAAAUAUCAAUGAAUGAAAUAAAUAAUUAAAAUAAUUUAGAUCUCAUAGUUAUUGUUGAAUCAAAUCUUCAGUUGUCCCCUUGACUAGAAAUACUAAAUUAGUUCUCCAUUAAUGGAGAACAAGCCACGUGAAAAUGCAUAUGCCAGAAGCUUACAAUUGUCUUCUCCAAAAAUCGGUCCAAGGGAAAAGUAAAGACAAGAGCAAAAAUGCUUUUUUCGUCCCAAGCCAAAAGAUGAUGUCUGCCAAAUUUGACUUGGCUCAAUUACCUAAUUGAUUGGUUUCCUAAUACCAAUCCAACUCCUAAAAAGAUUCUUAUUACAAAUCAAUUUCCUCCAGCUUUUCUUUUCCUUGAGAAUGAUCCCUCGAAAGAAGGAAAGUCCUGAUAGCUAACAAAUUAGGAAGUUGAUUCGGAUUGGGAGACUGCCCAAUAUCAAUCUCGACUUUCCGGCUUUGUGCAGUGAGUUUAGGCACGUCCAUGUGCAACCAUUAGAUGUUUUUCAUUAGAAAAUCUUCAUUUAAGCACUUUUCAUUCACGCUCUUGAAAUAAGCACAAAAUACCAAAUAUAAGUAGAAUCCGACAAUUAAAACAAUAUUUGUUUAAAAUCAAGGGGAAAAUAGUUAUAAAUUUAGCAACAAAUUAUGACCUAUCACCCCCCCCCCCCCCCAAAACAAAAAAAAAGGCAUUAAAACCAACCCAUUUUAGUUAGUUACCCAGCUUUUCAAUAACAACAUCCCAAGAAAAUCCAAGAAAGAAUUCUAUGUUAGAACAUCAAUUAGCCUACAGCUGAAUCAAUUCAUGGCUGUUUGCGAGGAUGGAAACAAUGCUAGGAUUCACAUCAAUCAGAAUAAGGAAUUAUCAUGGAAGAUUAGUCCGAGACAAAUCUGUGACAAGGAAAUUGUUUGUACAAAAAUGACCCUCACAAUGAGCCCUUUGUGUCCUUAUGCUGUGAGAUUUUGGUGCAAAACACAGCAUUAACCAUGAAGAUUGAUGAGUAAAUACAGUAGUCAAGUACAAGAAUAGCUUCUAGGGCAAGCAAAUGGACCUGCGUGGGAAUGUCAAGUGCAGGAGAGAGAGAUAAAGGAGAGAAAUUCAUUUCUGAUGCAUGUUCGUUUGACAAAAAUUUCAGAGAAAAUAUGUAGUGGUACAUUAUUGAGGAUAUUAAUGUAUCACUGAUAUUUUUCCUGCAAAAUCCUGCAUAUUUUGCAGGACACAGAAUGCAGGAAAGUGGGGGGAAACACUUGAAGAUUUGUCUUGCAAAUGAAAUGCACAAAGGAAAAGUAACCAACUUUAACUCACUUUCCCACACAUUUCGCAGCAAUAGAACACUACGCAAGAGCUCUGAAGUUUGAUAAUGAUCUAAGUCAUGAAAACGAGGAAAACUCCUGCCAGAGUACACUAAAAGACUGUUUAUAGAGCUGCAAAACACUAUGAUUCCGCUUAUUGCCAAAAGACAAGAGAACGUUCAUCAAGCACAUGCAUAGCACACAUGCAACAGCUUUUAGAACAAUUCGUAGACAACUAUUGCUUGAGCCUAAAUCAUAGUGAAAACUAAUACUCCUGCAUGAGGUUUACAUCAUCCUCACCACCAGUUGAAUAUACAUUACUAUGAAGCAUUUCCAUAGGUUACAUCAUAUACAACACUAGUCAUAACAGUAAGUAUCAAGUAUUUGGCUUGAUCAAUGGCACUGGUAUAAACCACCGGAAUCCAAAGUGUACUUAGGCAAAUGGAAAAGUAACUAAUGGGCCUGUGUCGAUCUUGAUAGUAGACUUUGGUAUUAUAGUUAAAUCAAUUGAGACCAAAUGGACAUUCUAGUGAGGCUUUAAUAUACAUCACCCACUAUGCCAAGGAUUUUCCAUGUAAUGCUUUUUCAGCAUGACGCUUUACAGUUUUUACUCGACAAAAGUUCUAAACUAAUGUGUUCUCAACCUCGAACCAAAAAAAAAAAAAACCAAAAAGCACCUACAAGUAUCAAAAGAAAUAAGCACACAUCUACCUGUCGACAUUAUGUGCAGAUACGAUAUUUAAAGCCAAACAGAUCAUUUGAAAAUUAAAGAUCUCAAAUGGGAAUUUUUCCUGUGCUAAGUAGAGAAAUGGACAAUGGUAGAGGAACAAGUAAUCAAGGUUUACAGCAAAUACAGGCUGAGUACAUUCAGUUAUUCUUUCUCUCUAAGAUCACAAAGAACAUUCAAGAUUAGGUUACACCCUGUUCCCAAAGUUCUAGCCUCUUAUGAUAGACCAAAAAUUCAGGAGUCUUUCUUAUUGUUCAAAACCCAAUUUUGGUUAGGAUAAUUCAGAAACCUAUCCAGAGGUUUCAGACAACUUUCCUUAGCACCACUGUGGGUUCAAAUAUCACACUGACCUCCUUAUUUUCACUGUUAACGUGACAGAACCUAAAAUCUGCUGAUCAAAAUAGGACGAAAGCACAAAAUUCCCACUGAAGAUCCUAAAACACCCUUUCCUCAUCUCUAUCAAAAUCAGAAACAAAAAAGUAAAGGAAAAAAAAACUCCCUGACCUAUAUCUCUCCCCCUACCUCCAGCUAAUCACCACCCCUUCCCACCAAUGUUCCACAUUCAAUCUUCACCAGUCUUCCUCUCCUAACCAUCCAAAUCCCAAGAUCCAACUCUUCAUUGGCCACAAACUGUGCCUAGCCAUUACCCAUCCUCAACUAUUGGCCUUCUGUUGCACUGUAACACUCCUCCCUAAAUGCCAAACAUAAAGAAAAUAGUCAGGCUCUAAAAGCCAAGUCAGUUGCUUCCCACAAAAUUGAUUUGACCUGUUCGUCAACCAAACAAACAAUCUGUCAGGCUCUAAAAGCACAGAAUUAUUCAAUUCACAUCGUUUUGCAAAUUAUCUUAAGAAAAUAGUCAAUAGAGGUAAAGAGCCUGCAGUUCACAAGGAGGAGGAAAAUUGGAAGUGCAGUGACGUCAGUGGUCCGGAUUUAAGGGGCUGGGAAAGUUGGCUUCAGAUGAGACGACAGUGCAAUUGAAUUGGUGAGAUUGAACUUUUUCCAGAGGCUUUGUAAUUACGGCUGCAACGAGUCGAGUCGAGUUGAGUACUCGAGCUCGACUCAAGUUAAAAUAUUUGGACUCGAACUCAGAGGUUGAAAUCUUGAAAGUUAAGCUCUAACUCAAAAUCAAUUUUAUUUUGCAAUACUCGAACUCGAACUCGAGCUCAUGCUUAUCGAGCCCAAUCGAAUCUAAUUGAGUUUAAGAAAUAUAAAUUUAUAUUUUAGAAAUUUUAACCAAGGGAUAAAAUAGACAUUUCAUAGUAAUAAAUAAAAAAAAUAGAAAAAACAUAUAUAUGUGUAACUCGAUUAAGCUCGGUUAAGCUCGACAAGGUUUCAAGCUUCAUAUAUUAACCUCAAGCUCGACUCAUCAAGUAACUCGAUCUGUUCAAACUCGAUCAAUGUGAGUUCGAGCUCGAGUUUUGACUGAGCAAACUCGCGAGCUACUCGAUUAAUUUCGAUUCUUUUGCACCCCUAUUUGUUAUUAGAAAGUUAGAAAGCAGUGGUUUGGGAGUAGUUGUAGUUCGGUUGAGGUGUUAUUCCUCUCUCUCUCUCUCUCUAUUUUGGUGGGGUUGAAAGUUAAUAGAAAUUGUUAGAAGGUUAUAUAGUAAUUAUCUAUGUGGUUUUAAAUUUCCCUUCAAUUAUAACACUAUGAAGAUAGGUCAGUGUAAUAUUUGAUAUUACAAGGUUGCUAAGUAAAACCGUCCAAUACUUGAGAGGAGGUUUCUGAAAUCAUCCCUUUAUGAGUCUCAAUUGCAAUUCACCAGCAUUUCCUAUUAGAACUGAUGAGGCAAAUUACAUGGCAUAGUUUCGCACUAAAGCAAAGCACAGCAUGUCAUCGAAUUGUGAAUUGAGAUUUUCGUGAAUAGAAUUUCCCUAGAGGCAUCAAAUCAGAAACAAGGCAACAAACAAGCACAAAAAAUGCUCUUUCUUCUAAAUUAUACUCCUACAAAUUAAUGAUCUCUAAAAACAUUUGACAUCUAAACACCAUCAAUUUGAUGCACAAAUUAAAGCAAGCAAAGGGUGCAUAGAUAUCAUGCUGCACAAUUGUGGGUCAAGCUUCAAGUACAAGAGAUACAGUGAACGAGAUCAUUUGAAUGCAAGCAACAUAAAAACGAGCUGACUAAAUCCAUAUCCCCCUCCACCAAGGGCAAACUUAAUAGCAGUAUCUCGAUUCUAGCUUUGCUUAAUUAAAUAAAUUACCUGAACAAGUGAUUGUCGAAACUGCUCUGAAUAGGAUGCAUUUUUUGAAAUUUUUACCGCAGAUCUCUUCUUCAAUAGCUACAAAUGUGAUACAGAGAAAGAUUAUAAUAAUUAGCUACAUUGUGGAGUAAAAGAUUUCAAGACACAAACCAAAUAGAAAACAGACAGUUAAUAAACAGAGGUUAUUUCAUGCAAAAGAAUACACCAAAUAGAAAUUUAAAAGUGCUAUAUUAUAGAAAAGGUAGAAUUUGUCUCACCUACCAAAUUUAGCAAAGUUACGAAAUUUAGCAAAGCUACGAAAUUUAGCAAAGCUACGUAGCAAAGUUCUAUUUGUCCAUAUUUUGACGAAGAGUACGUCUUGUUUUUCAUUCCCAUUCUUUUAAGAAUGAAUAUUAUAAUUCGCAUUUCGAACAAGCAUGAAUAUAGCGUCUAUAGAAUAAUUUCGAUUUUGAAAGUUAUACAAAUUGAUUGGUUCCAUUAAUCUAGCAACUUCUUCAUGAUCUAGUAGGGAAAAACUAUUAUUAUUUUCCAAAAGAUCAAAUAGUUUAUCUUCAAUCAUCUCUGUCCAAAUCACAACUUGUUGGUUCUUCUUCAGUAAUCCUUGAUUUGGUUCAUAAUUGUUGACAUGCUUUAUCACAUUCCGGGUAUUAGAAACUCUCGACCAUGCCGAUCCUUCUAUGUAAUUAGAUUUGUUGUAUAAGUAUACUUCAUAAAAAUCCAGUUCACCCAUAUUUUAGUGCAACACUUUUUGUGAUUGAUACAUAUGAGAUAAAAAUAAAUUGAAAAUAUAAAAAAAUUGGUUGAAAAAUGUAUUUUGUAAUGCAAAUAAAAUAAUAUUUAAGAUAACUUUUGUAUCUAAACACAUCAUUCGAUUAUGGGAUUUUGGACAAAGUGUCCAUUGUACCAUUUAAUGAUUUAUUAAAUCUCUUUUUUUUUUUUCUUUUUGGUUUUAUUACAAUUUACUAAAACUUUGAUUUGGCUUGCCUAUCCUUUGUACUCAAGAACAUAUAGAUAUUAAUAGGAAUGUUAGGUUAGUUGAUCACUUCACAAACUGCACAUAUUCCCAAUUAAUCAUAGAGUGAACAAGUAGCAAUCCAUUCAAUAAAUCUUCUCGCUACUUCUCACGAGUUGCAAGAAAAUGAUCCCACUAAGGCAAGGAGAGCCCUGAAAGCUGCAAGGGGAGGCCUUGACCCAAGUGGGUAACUAGCAAUCCAGUCAAUAAAUCUUCUCACUACUUCUGGUGAGAAACGAUCACACUAAAGAAAGGACAGCCUUGAUGAAAACUGCAAAUGAGGAGACCUCUUGAUGAACCCUUAUCUUCGCAGCCUUAUUUUUAUUUUUAUGCUCAUCUGCUAUCAAUCUAUUGACCAAACAACUAGACAAAUGGAUGUUCUUCCAGAGGAUGUCUUGAUGCAGAUCUUGGUAAGAUUACCCGUGAAAUGUUUGUUUCGAUUCAAAUACGUUAGCAAAUCUUGGUGCUCUUUGAUCAAAAGCCUCGAUUUCGCUGAUUUGCAUGUCAGCCAAGCCAAAAGCGGUAAUCAGGAAGAUGUCAACUUGGUGAAGUGUUUCAUCAAGGACGAGAGAAAAACUGUGUUAUCAUUCCAUUCAAAGAUGAAUCUUUAUCUCUGCAGGAUGUGGGACAGAAGAUUCGUUGCACUACAAUAUGCAUUUGGUGAGCACAUGCCAUGGCAUAAUUUGUCUUAGAAGUUAUGAUUCUUAUGAUAUUUGUUUGUGUAAUCCUACAACUCGCGAGUUUCUUACACGGCCGGAUUGUCCCUUACAUUGCCCACAAGGGUAUCAACGCCGGCUGGCUGAUUUGGGGUUUGGGUUUGAUGCAAUUAGUGACGAUUACACGAUCAUCACUCUUACAAAAAUUGCAGCUCGCAAAUAAAAUGGUGAUCUUUAUUCCUGAGUAAAUUCUUGAAUUAUGAUGAAAAAAAAAGAGUUUUUGCAAGACUAUUGUUGAAGGCAUUUCUAAAAUGAGGUUGUUAACAUUUGUUGAAUGCGAACUUACUUAGCUUGCGCAUUCCGCAAAUGCGAGCCAGGAUACAUUUUUUUUUUUUAAAAAGGUACCUCGCAUUUCUCAGUCUCUUUCACCUAAACCCAAAAACAGAGCUCCGUUCUUUACAUCAAACAUUCGGCAUUCAAAUCCAUAAGCAGAGGGGCAGAAAUUGGAACGAAACUUUGCACAUCCAGCUCACUCUCUCGUCUUUUGCUUAGCUAGACACCAGUCCAAGCUUCCAAGAGGAAAUUGCCCAAAAUCCCUCAAUCUCUUUCUUUCUCGUCGGUUGUUGUCCGCCAUUGUUGAGCUUCCACCAGACGCCAUUUGCACGCCAACCAGCUGCCAUUUCUGCCUCAGCAGUCAUCCCCAACCAAUUUUGUGACCCUUUGCGCUGCACAUUUUCUUUUCCCUUCGCAAAUGGCUUUCAAAUUCGUGGCUGUGCUCUGUAGCUCACAAACAGCAUAAAAGGUAUGAACUUUUGUUGCAAAGUCUGAUUUUUAUGCGUUUUAUAUUUAUUUAAUACUUUAAUCCGAUGUAAAGUUCAGAUUUGAUGUCAAUUUGCAUGUAAAUAUCAUGUGGGUUGUGCUGCUUUUUCCAUUUUUUUCUGUCGAGUCUGAGGAAAUAUCUUCUGGGAGGGAAAUCCUUGGGUCAAAUGACCCACUGCACCCCAGAGCCAGAGUAAACGUAAAUACAGAAAGAAAACCACAGAGACAGGUGUAGAUAAAAUUAGUGGUAUUUGCAUAUAACUUCACAGCUAGUCCUGCAUCAUUUUCUUUUGAGUUACGAUAACUUUGACUUGGUUCUAGUGUUCAUGUGACCAGCCAUUUGGCAUUUUUGCAUGAUACCCGUAUGUUGGAUUUCGUGAUUAGCAUCCACGGUAUUGGCAUUGCUAUUUAUAACUUGGCAAUUUUGAAAGUUUACUAGCUGGCAGCUUAAUAUACGGUUAAUGCUUAAAAUAUGCUGAAUCAAUUAGGAUUCUCUUAGUGAAUCGUCUGUUUGUGGCAUUCUAGUGGCUAAGUUAAGUUGUCCAUCUUUUAGUUUUGUUGUAUUGCUUUCUUCAGUACCUUGAUGGGUUGUAAUGCUACCAGACCAGUAAGGUUUUCAGGUUCUAGUUCAUGCUUUUGUAACCCCCUCACAACAAAAAAAAAAAAAAAACUGCUAUUAGCUACUUACUAUUAAACGAUGCAAUUUGUUUUACCUUUUUAAGUAGUGGUAUGUAUUAGCUACUUGUUUUGAAGUUUUGCUUGUUAUUGAGAAACUAUGUAUAGUUUUGAGAUGCAACCUGUAGGUCCUUGCACCAUAUAUCUAGUCUUACAAUUCUGAGUUAUCACUGUUAACAAUUCUAGAUCAUCAACAUUUGCAUAAUGAGGCUCGCUUAGGUAAUACACCUAAAUAACUGUUUUGCCUGAAUAGAAACCUUGAGGUACCCAGUCCAUUUGCUAUUUCAAGACACACUGCUGGCACAGUGGUCUUUCUUUCUGCAACAUCAACCUUCUUCCAUCCUAAAUCUGAUCAUAGGGUCCAUCAUAAUAUGAUUAGAUUUUGAAGAAUCUAAAUAUUUUGUACUUGCAUGUAGGCUUAUGAAUGCAUGGAAGUUUUGAUCCCAAUCUUAGUUAAUUGUGAGGGCAACUGUGAAUUUUUCUUGGUUGAGGAGCUAGAAUGAAUAUACCCAUUCCGGACUGUACAACUCCUCUGUUUUUAUUUUUAUUUUUUAAAUCUGUUCAUACAAUCAACCAUGGAAAAAAUUGCUAGCUUGGUAGAAGCAAGAGUUGGGGAUUGGGGCAUACAACCUGUAUAAGGGUCACUUUUUUGAAGAAAUUCUAAUGCCAUGAAGUUUGAGUUUGACAAUGGCAUAUUAGUUUCUAAAAAGCAAAAGAAACAAUGGCAUAAUUUCUAGUUCUUGAUGAUGGCAUAUGGAGAAUAUUCUAGAAACCAACUUAACCUCUAGGACUUCUUGCCAUAUGGAGAAUAUGCUAGAAACGAACUUAACCUCUUGGACUUCUUAGCAUUCUAUUCAUUUUCGGUCUCACUUGCGUAGUUAGCCUUUUAGUUCUGCCACCUAGUUAAAUUAUUGCAGAAUGCCUUGCUUUAUGUUACCUUAGCAACAGGGGUUAAAAUGAUCUUGGUACAUCAUGGACGCCAAUCCAAUCCAAAAUUCUUGAACCAAAUUGAAGAGUUUAUUUCUUAUAGCUGUCAUGAAUUUUCUGGUGUUUGAAGCAAGUGAUUGUAAAUUGUAUGCUUAAAGUGUUUGACUUUUCCUUAUAAUGGAAUUUAUGGUUGGAUAAGCAUCUAGAAACAUAUUAACUUGAUCAGAAAUUUCACAAGGCUUGUAGGUGGAAGUUUAUGUUGGUUUUUGAGAUAAUUGAGCUGAUCACUUCCUGUACAUAUAUCAGGAAAUUGAUCAAGGCUGUGUUGUUUUGUGUACAUGAAUGUUUGAACAGAACUUAUAACAGGUUCCAUAUACAGCUUGACUCGCUUUGGUUAACACUCUGCUUAGCAAGUUGUCAUAUCCAUAUUGUUGGAGAUGGAGGAGCUACGGCAACUCUCCCAAGCAUUUAUAUCAAUUUCACAAUGUUUCCGGGAGCUAAUCAUGUCACGGAUCAUUUAUCUAAGAGGGCUUCUCAUAGCUAAGCCUUUCAAAUUUCAUGGAUUUUGGAUGUCUCACAAUGAUUUCCCUCAGCUACUUCAUAAGGCAUGGCGUACUGAAUUUCAAGGUGACCCUAUGAGGACUUUCUGUUUGAAACUGAAAGAGGUAAAGAAGCAUUAAAAGAGUUAAAUAAGAAAGAAUUCUGGGAUAUCUCUGCCAAAACUAUUCAUGCACAAGAGGCUCUAUAGUCUGCUCAAUUGGAGUCUAGUUCAUUGUAGUAGUAUUAUUGUAUAGCUUAAUUGGUUGUAGAAGUACUUUUGUGUAGCAGAUUCCUCUGCUCUUGUGUACAUUCAUGUUCUAUUCAAUAAAAUCCCUUUUUACGUAAAAAAGAAAUCUUGUCAUAGCUGAUACACACUUCCGUGGACUCUCUUCUAGCUCUAGCUCGAUGAUCAUUUUCUUUAGAUAGAGCAUAGAUGACUUCUUUCAGAAAGCGUGCUAUUAGAUGGUACAUAUGUGUUUACAUAGAUUCUUUUUAGCUAGCCAUUUCGUAGUAGUUGUCAUGAUUAUAUUCAGGUCACGUAUGCUCAUUCCAAACUCUUGUAAUGUUUAUUUACUUUAUGGUUUAAUAAAAUAAAAGGUUAGCAUCCCUCAUCUAUGAAUGGAGUUUGCCAUUAAAAAAAAAAAAGCAGAGAGAGAGAGAGAGAGAGAAUGUCCCUUUCUGUUUAACCGUGGAAAAAGAAAACAAUUUAGUGAAGAUUGAUAAGAAAAGCAAUGACUUCUUCAGUGAUUAUUAGUCGUAUUUUAUGCGAUAUUGAGGAUGAUAUGGCAUUUGGGGUGCCAAUUUUGUUGAAUUACUGAAGUAUGUGGAAGCAUCUGUCCAAUUAAGUAAUAUUAGUGCUUAGUUAAUAUCUUCUUUAAACAUUACAUAAAUGCUAAAAUAAUGAUUUACUCUUGAUUAUAUCAAUUAUCAUUCAGUAUGGUUUUAACGUGAAAUUCAAGAUUAAUGGAUUUUUUUUUGGCAAUCACUUAAUAACCUACAAAUUCGUCCUCCAUAAUUUUACAAAACAAAAAACAAAAUUCACACUCUAAAAAAAAUAGCUUGCUUAAUUUUGCAAAAAAGAAAAGAAAAGAAAAGAAACGCAAGAGCCUUGGAUUGAAAUAUAAAUGGCUCCCUGCCUCGCAUAGGUUAAAUGCGAGUUCCAUGACCUCGCGGCUGACAAAUGCGAGGUUACUUGACCUCGCAUUUGGCAUAGGUUAAAUGCGAGUUCCAUGACCUCGCGGCUGACAAAUGCGAGGUUACUUGACCUCGCAUUUGGCAAAUGCGAGGUCUGAAGUAACUCUCUUUUUUUUCCCCUUUUUUGGAUUGAAAAUUCAAGGGGACAUCACAUUUGUCAAAUGCGAAGCAUUCAGUUCGCAUUUUACAAAUGCGAAGACCCCUUGACGGAAGUCUACACUUAAAACACUCAUUUUGCAGAAACUUUUUAAAAUUCAUCAUCAAAUUGGAAAUUUCUCUGAUGUUUUCAAGGCUACUGAUAUCCUUUCUAAUGAAGAAGCCAAACUGAAUAUAUUUUCUCAACUUCUAGUUGAUGCAAAGUAUCCCUACAUAAUUAACCUUCUUUAUCCUCCUAAUUGUUAAAAAUCAACCAUUGCAUCUAGUUUUUUUUGUAUAUUAUAAACUACUACCAUCAUGGAAUGGUCUUUUGUGAUAGUUUUGAACUUUUUGGAUUUGGAAGUUAUUAUACUAGUUUGGCAUAUGUUGAUCAGAUUGCUAACUUGGCUAGUACCAUCACUGGACUUUUUUGCAUUAUUGUAGAUGGUCUUUAUGUAUUAUAAAAGACUUGAUUCUGGUUAAAAAUGUAUUAUAUUAAUGAUUGCAGUAUUAAUUUUAUGUACAAAUUUUAUUUUGUUUAUGUUGGAUAAAACUGCCUAACUAUAGGGAAACUGGCUUAGGUUCAAUCCGGCCAUGGAUUGAAUAGCGAAUCCACAAUCCGGCCUUGUAUUCUUAGUAGUUGUUUAGCACAAGCAUGAAUCUGUAUCACAGAAGUCCGGAUUAGCUAGAAACCAGGUUUGGAAUUGAGUUAAGUCAUAAUAACCGGAUCAGGAUUUGAGUUAAUCGUGAUCCAGAUUUGACUAACACUAUCAACCUCUUCCUCCACUUGAAUGCAAUGAACAAGCUUCCAGUCAGGGGAGGCAUCUGAAAUUAUCCCAUAACUUUUUAUUUAUUCAUAGGAAAAUAGUUGUUGAAUUGGGCUUGUAUUCCCAUUGAUGACUGUGAAUAAACCAAUCAACAAAAUCAAUAAUCAUCCCAUUGCUUCUCCUAAACCAAACACCUCAAAAGGAAUAGCAUAAACCUAUUCCGAUUGAAGACGUUUUGAUAGUGAUUGUCAUUGCCAUUCCGGAGUGGCAACCAAACGGGUAGUAAGUGUAAUGAUAUCAAAGUGUGUAACUUUGGAAAAUCAUGAUAACAGUAUUUGUUUGUUAAAGUCAAAGAUACAAAUUAUUUAAAUGCUCUAAAAAAAGGAUCUGCUUGGAAAAACGUCGGUUUAUCAUUUGAUGCAUUCAAAAAAGUUGGUUAACAAAAGAACAUAUGAAUAUUGUAGUACGGUUGACAAUCAAAAUUAUGAAAAAUUUUAGUAUCUAAUGAUACUACAUUUUGGAAUAUAAAUCACACGCAAAGCACAUAGGUAUUAUUAGCCAUCAAAAUAUGUCAUUCUCAAUACUACAUUGAAUUUUCAAAGUGAGAUCACAGACAUGUUUAUUACUUGAUACUUAAUGCCAGAAUUUAUUUCUUCAUCAAAUGCUACAAAAAAUAGAAUUUGAUAAAUAAUGGAUUUGUAAUUAAAACCGUUUUAAUUUGUGGCAUCACGAGUGUGCAGUAACCUUAAUAACACUAACUUCAAUAGAAGUGGCACAAUGACCUUCAAUAUUAUGAUUUAAUGAUAAAAAUAUUAUGAGUAUACAAUAACUUUGGUAAAACAUGACCAUAUUAAGAUUUGUUUAUCAAAGUUAAAUCCAUAAUUUAUCAAAAAUCUCAAAAUAAAUUAAAAAACGAAUAGAUCAAAGAGUCCAAAUCUAGAUAGUCUUUGUAAUAAGAAUUGAUUAAAUAAAUUAAAAAUAUAAAAUAUUUUAUUAUAAGGUAAAUAAUCAAAUUUUCCAAGAAAAAAAAUGAAUAUCAAAGAAAUGUUGUAUUUGAUUUAAUAUAAUCACGUGCAAUCAUCAAAGCAGCUGAGCAAGGGGUGGAGAAGCAUAUGCAUGGAAGUGGCGAACAAAUAGUUGAUUUGCUCAACUCUAGAAACAAAGUUACAUGGCAGUUCGAAUUGCAACAUUCAUAGAAGACAUCAAGUCCUUCGUAUUACUGUUUUUAUAGUGCUCCUUUAUAUAUAUAUAUAUAUAUAUAUAUAUAUAUAAAGGAGUUUGUAGGUGACUGUUGAAAAAUUUUUCAUUUGCCAUUUUUGGGGAUAAUUUAGAUAUGGAAAAAAUCAAAUGCAAGUGAUUAAGCCAAAUGUACAACAUUAUAAUGUAUAGUUGAGUUGGGUUUAAUUAUUGUGUCUUCCCAUUUGCAAUUAGCUUAUUUUUCCAUGUGAUUAUCAAGCUUUUAAGUGGUGUUUAAAUCACUUACAAAUGUAAUUGCAAUGCUCUUCAUCUUCUUUUAUAAUUGUUGGAUAGCUUUUAUAGCUACAAUAAUAGAGGGUCUUAAUGCUAAAGAUGAUUGGUUCAGAAAACACUUAAUAAUAAACAUGAUUGAUUUUGGUUCAUAUUUCCAAUCUAUUACAAGUAAAAUUGUAGUGCUCUUCAACUUGACAAUAAUGGAGACUUUUAAUACUGAAGAUUGUUGCUUCAAAUGCCUGUAAUCAAUCUUUUGUUGUGGGUAUUUGGACAGGUAUGCUCAUUUACUUUCUCUCUUUCUACAGUUUUGGAUGUUUAGCAGAUACAAUAAAAAUUGUGAGUUUUCUACUACAAUAUUUUCUCAAUAGCUAUUGUAUGAAUAUGGAAAUUUUGUUAUGGAAUACAUGAUGCAUACAUAUGAAUAUCCAUAGGAACUUUCUUACAUUGAUAUUUCCAAAAUCUGAUGUUCGUGGGUGGUUAAACUACAACUAAAGAUUAUUUAUUGAUUGCAAUUUUAUUACCAAGGUAGGAUCUAAAUCUGAUCUUAUAGUUGAUACAUGUUAAUUGUUGAUUGGACAUGACUACGAUUGUGUUAUAAUGGUGUAGUAACAAAGGUAAUGAUAUUUUUGCUAUUGUUGUUGUGGUAUGGUGUGAUUAUCUACCACAAUCCUAUUCUUUUACUUCUAAAUUUGUUUUCCUUUAUAAGUUUGUUGAUUUGGCCAAUUUACUUAUAUAUUUCAUGCACCUCAAUUGAUUCAAUUAAAUCAAUUACCAUGCAGUUCUAAUUCUAUUAUCUUUUCCAUAAAUGUAUUUGAAUAAAUAUUUUAUCGCAUAGGUUAAAACUCCUGCGCUUAGCGCGGGCUCCCCCCCCCCCCAAGUUGUACAAAUAGGAAAAAAUGAUAUAAUUAUAUCUCUCAGCAAUCAUGUUUUAAACAUAUAUCAGAGAGGUGGGGAGAGAUGGAUUAGGUGAUAUGGGAGGAAAAUAUAUGAGUAAGAGACCCGAAUUCAAAGCAUGCCACUUGCACCAAAAAAAAAAAUGCUUAAACAUGUAUCAAGAUGAAGAAUGGUUAAUCCCACUCUUCUGUGCUAGUAGACUUUUGUAUUGUCUUUGGACCUUUGUCCAUCACCCAAUGGACCCUUGCCCAACAAAUUAUAUAUUUUGGCAAAAAAAAAAACAAAAAAAAGCUUCUAAGCUUUUGCUUUUGUAUUUAGUUUGUCAUAAUUUUGCAGGUUAAUUGAAUAGUAUAUGAAAAUAGUACCUCAUUUCUUUAUCGUAUUUUUUUUUUCACAUGGGGGAGGUCGACCCUCUUAAGCAGGGACAAAACGCAGGGUUGCAACACCCAAAAUAUCUGCUCCAAUCAAUUCCCGCAAUUCCUGUUGAGGUUCAGUUAGAAUCUGCAUCCCUUGUUCACUGUUAACACUUCUUUUAACCAGCCAGUCUGCGCACCCAUUCCCUUCUCUCCAAACAUGUUGUAGUCUACAUUCCCAAUCCCUACAUGUGUAAUUCCUGAUGAGAAGUAUCAGAUUGGAUAAUGGUAAUUCCGAACCUACUCCUUGUAUUAGAUCCAAAGCUGCCUUUGAAUCAGUUUCAAAAAUCACUCUUUAUCGUAUUUUAGUGUCCUUAGUAGAUUAAGUGAAAGUUGUUGCAAAUAGCGUAACAAGAGUGCGCCAGAAAUAUUACUCGAUGCCGCAGAAGAAUGCAGUCCAAUAGAAGCAUUUCAUCGAAGAACUUUCACUAGAACUGAAAGAAAAGAGCAAUUCCACUUCUUUUAUAUUCAAACUAUCUACAAGAUGUUAGAUGAAGAGAAAAUAAUAGAUAAAAAGACCAAACACCUAAAAUUGUAUCAUUCUGGAGUCACAACAACUAUUUAGUACAACUUCUUUCUAAGCAUCAGGUACCAAUUUUUGGUAUCAAUAGCUCACCGAUCAAUUAUCAAGUUGAUUGACACUUUCACAAGUAAUAAAUUGUUAGUAUUCGUGAGGACACAUAAACAUAUUAAUUUCACGCACUCAUGCAGCUAGCAGUAGCACUUUAAUUG